GCGCCCGCGGCCCCAGAGAGGCGAAGCCGAGCCCGGUGCUCCUCGCCGCCGCCGCCGCGCGCUCCUCCCCAAAUUCCUUCUCCCUUUCGGCUCGGAAACGAGCGGGGCGGUCGGGACCUGCUGCCCAGACGGGGUUGGUUUUUGGGGUGGGGGUGAGUCCGGUGGGUCCGCCUCGGAGCCGACGCUGCUAACGACCGCUCUUCCGAGUCUCCCAGCCGGCGGUUGGCGGAGUCCUGGGCGGUUCUAGCGCGCCGAGCCGCGCGCCAGCUUCGGAGUCAACGCCGAGCAACUGGCGAGGAACCGAGGAGGAAUUCUGAGUCACACGGAAACUUGCGCGAGGCGGGCGCCGUCAAGGAUACCGCCUCGCCCGUCUUAAGUGGAUUCAGCCUGGGGCGAGAUGGGAACGGGCGCUGGUCCGCGCAGCUUGCGGAGAUCGCCUUGGUCGAGGCGCUGCCUCUUGCCUUGCCUGCGCGGGAAGGACUGCCGAGCGUUUUCAACACUGGGGGAAAAAAGUUGCGUGAAGCCUAUAUGCUGAUAAAAGGUUUUCCCAUCCUCUGGACCUUCAGUGGCCCGAUCCUAAAUACGCUCUGUAUUAUUCCCUGGGAAAUUAAGAUUGAAGAUGAGAGCUUUUAAAUCUCGCAUCCAAUUCGCCUAUCUUCGCUUUGCCUGCUGCCUUGUGACUCUAUCAUCAUCAAUAAAGUUUAAUUAAACCAACGCUUUUGAAACGUUUGAAGUUAAAUGUGGGGAAUUAUUACGCCCGUUGACAAAUAUAUAUAUUUUUCCCCUAUUGAAAACAAUCAGGUUGUGCUGGGGAACAUCAGAACCAAAAUAAUAGGGAUAUUUAUGUUCUUUAUUGUCCCUUUCCCCAGAUACUUUGUUACGCAAGCACACCCUUUUCAGUGCAUUAAGGCAGCCUUGCAUUUAGGCACUUACUUAGUAGCCUUGGUAGGUAGGAAGGGGAGAGCAUGGAAUUGCAGGUAGGCAGACGGGAGGACUGGUGGGCGAAGGGCAAAUUCCAUCUAUGCUCUGUGCCACAGAAACCUAGUUGGCUGCUAGAGGAGGGAAUCCUCUUUGCUCAGCCUGGACAUGCGGCAGGCUGCUGAAGGAGGGGCAGUGCUGUCUCUUGCUCCUCUACCACCCCCACCCCAUGCAUUCAUUUACAAGGCUGAAUUAGGGCUCAUUUAGAUGCUACUCAGCCACGUUGGAGACUGUUGGUCAUCUGCUGCAUGGCACAAGUUUCAGGCCGUUCUAACAUUUAAGCCCCGUUCUCGUAACAAGUGGGGGUGGGGAACCAUAUACCGUAUUUUUCACUCUAUAACACGCGCCCGACCAUAACACGCACGUAGUUUUUAGAGGAGGAAAAUCCGUAGGCAUGCCACCCAUAGGCAUUCCCUCCAUAACACGCACAGACAUUUCCCCUUACUUUCUAGGAGGAAAAAAGUGAGUGUUAUGGUGCAAAAAAUACGGUAAUUCCAGGGUAUUUUACAAAAGCGCACAAAUGACAUUUUGCAGCCAUAACAUAAAAUGUAAAUUAAGUACACAGAGACAAAUCUAAUUACACUGCAGGAUAUAUUCAUUGCUAAGCUAUCUUCUUUUCCAACCCUUCCAGCCAGGAACACUCUGGCUGUCCUUUCAAGCAUAACUAAUGGAAGUUAUUCCGAUGGAAAGGGCAAAAACGGGGUGCGUCAAGGGGUGGGCAAUGCCAGGGCAGGGAUACCCAGCUCGUUCUUGCCACAUCUGCAUCAAAGUGCAUCAUUUAAAGCACUUUUAUAUCACUGGAGACAUCCAUGUGUCCUGGGAACUGGAUGAAUCCUGGGAACGGCAGUCUGCUUAAGGGUUAGAGUUGUCAGGAGACCCCUAUUUCCUUCAGAGAGCUACAGUUUUCAGAGUUUUCAAUCCCUCUUCCCGGAGAGUUGGUAUUCCUGCCUCGCCCCUCCUUGAGAAGACAAAGCUGGCCACUGUAAUUCAUGUCACGGUGACAUAUUAAAAAAGACUACUGCAUUAUGUUCCACAUGGGGCUCACUCGGAAGAGUGCUCGGGAACUUCUACCGGUUCAGAAUGUAACUGCCAGAAUACAAACAGGAGUUCCCUGCAUGCCAGGAAUAGGAAGGGCAUCUAGACAUUGCAGUCAUCUAGAUAGUGCAGUCAUCUGGACAUUGUGGUACUCCAACUCCCAUCAGCCCCAGCUAGUGGUCAGGGAGAGGGCAACCCAUAGUAUAUACAAAAUUUGGAGGGCCACAGGUUCCCUAUCCCCCCCUGACGUACACCCAAUAUUGUUCCACCUUCAUUAGAUUCAGUUUGUUUUUGAGUCCGUUCCAUGCGUUGGUUUGGACUUUUAAAGCCUGAAGCGGUCAUGAUAAUGACUGCCUUUUCCAAUACGCACUUUCCCAAAAAUUCAGAUUGAGAUCAGAAGCUUUGUCCCAUGUCCCAUCCUGCACCCCUGUCCCAAGGUAUAGUAGGUGAGUCCAAGACAGCCUUUUAAUUUUUUUUUCUCUGUGAAAUUGUUUUUAUUGGUUUUACAAAUGCAACAUGUAAAUAAACAAAAUAAUACAUAUCUAAAUAAAGAGAUUCUCUGAAUCUUGGGACUCCCCCCCAUCCCCCCAUGGAGUCUCAAUUUAAACAUCUGGAACUGCAUAUUCAUCCGUGCUCCAGAAUUUCUAUCAAACCAUAUUGUCCAUAAUAAUUUUUACACUACAAGUGAAUAAAAAUCCUGCUCUUGUUUCCAUCUGCUUACAGUGGUCACUUAAGUACUGUUACUUAUAUUUUUUAGCCAUUCUAUAAUAAUAAAAAUUGUCCUCUUGUUUUCUGACUUUUCCAGUCAGUUUUGCCAUUUUGCCAUAGUCCAUCAGCUUAGUUUGCCAAUCUUCUCUGGUAGGGACUUCGUCUUCUUUCCAUCUCUGGGCUAGCAUCCACGUGGCUGUUGUUCCGUACAUAAAAAGUCUCUUCGGGUCCUUUGGUAUGACGCUACAUGUAAUUCCUAAUAAAAAAAGCUUCUGGUUUCAUAACAAAAGUUAUUUUAAGCUUUCUUUUUCAUUUCAUUAUAAAUCCUUUCCAAGAAGGCUUUUAUUACCUUACAAGUGCACCACAUAUGAUCAAAGGUACCUUCUUUUUCUUUACAUUUCCAGAGAGUAUUUGAACUUGUCCUAUACAUUUUUGCUAACUUAGGAUUUAAAUACCACUGGUAUAUCAUUUUCCAAGACAGCCUUUUUAGUCACAGUGCCACAGUUGUGGAAUGCUAUAUUUAUAGACCAAUAUUUCUGCUGCUGUUUUACAAGGCAAUCUGCUGCUCUGCUUUGCUCUCUUUUGGUUGUUUGGUUUGUUGGUAGUUUUAUCAUGUUUCAUAACCUAUCAUCAUCAUCAUCACUACUGUAAGCUUUGGUGAUCUUUCAAAUAGAAAAGUAGGUUAAAAACCAGUCUGGAUUGCUGCAGUGCACCCUACAUGGGGCUGCCCUUGAAGACGGCUUGGAAUCUUCAACUAGUCCAAAGCGCAUGAUAGUUCAGUCUGUGGCGCACGAGACUCGCAAUCUCAGGAUUAUGGGUUCGGGCCCACAUUGGGCAAAAGAUUACUGCGUUGCAGGGGGUUGGACUAGAUGACCCCUGUGGUCACUUCCAGUUCCACAAUUCCAUGAUUCUAUGAAAAUACACUGGCCAGGCUUCCAUUUAGAACUCACAUAACCCCUGUUUUAAAACAGCUGCACUGGUUUCCAGUUUGUUUCCAGGCCCAAUUCAAAAUGUUUAAAGGCCUGAUUGACAUAGGCCCCACAUAUGUGAAAGACUGCCUCCUAGCCUACAGGCCCUCUCAGGUGUUAAAAUGAUCAUGGGGGGGAGGGGCCUUGGUACUUUUACCACCACCACCACCCCUCAUAAGUUUGGGGGUUGAUGGCCCGGAGAGAGUGCAUUCUUUAUGGCAACCCCUAAACUGGAAUUCCCUCCCCACAGAGGUAUUUCUGGCACUUUCAUAAUUUUUUUUACAGCCCACCUUAUUAUCUUAAUUGUAAUAUUUAAUAUUGUAUUGUUAGAUUGUUGUAAUGGUCCCUGGGAUCUCAUGGUGACAGGCAGGUAAGAAAUAUUAUUAUUAAAUGUUUUGUAUAAUAUAUAGAUAUUGGAAUAUGGGUGUUUGCCUGAUAGCUACUGACUGAAAUAAUAGAAUGAAGCUCUAGAAGACGGUCUGAACAGGUGUGCAACUCAUAUUAGCAAGGAGCAAAUUGUACCCCUAAACUGAAGAAUUGAACCUAGGAUAGGAAGAAAUGGACGAGCAAUGUGUUUUAUGGCAGGGGCUAAAAGGUGAGGUAUAAAUGAAUAUUUUAAAACAUUCCUGUUUACUCACGUACUUGAUGUCUGAAAGAUACUGUUCCUGGCAACUCUGAGAUUAUUGUUUUUGAAAUGUUCUAAACUGAUUUCAGAAUGUUUUGAAAUCUGUUCUAUUGUGAAUGUUUGAUACCCUGGGCUCCUUUGGGAGGAAGGGUGGGAUAUAAAUUGAAUAAAAUUAUGCAAGACAUAUUGUUCACUCCAUUCUGCUUAUUGCAGAGGAUAACUGUGCCCGUAUAUAGGUUAAGUGGAGAGAUAUGGUUUCAGCAUUUGCAUUCUGCUGGCACCUUUGUAAAAUAAGCUGGCAAAGAGCACAACACAAUGCAUUUUUCCUCAAGAAGACAAUUCCAAUCUGUUGAAUGGGCCUUCCUCUCAUUCAGCUAUGCCUAGGAUCACAGCCAAAACCUUAGAAGUAUAAAUAGACUGCAGAAAAUACAAUUUGAACAAAGGAAAACCAAUUGUACAAAGCUGUAAUAGAAGUACAGUUGUUAAUUUAUAAAAACAAAUGAUAGCAGGAAGUGCAGCCUGCCUAGAAACUGCAGGUCCUAAGGGAUGGGGCUUGGUUUUUGUGUUAUGAGGGAAAAAAUGCUCACUGCACAUGCUCCAAAGUUCUCUUGUAUUCCACUGCCAAGGUUUCUUUUUUGGCAAUAAGAAACUGGUUUCAGGACUGAGACUAGCUCAGAUUAAAUCCUGCUAGAAGCCUUAUUCAGUGUAUACAAGCAACAAAAUGUAUAAUUCUGUAGUUUGUGAUCUAGGGCAUGUGGGGGGUGGGGGGUUCUUGCUUCCCUGCUCCCAUCCUCGAUGGAGGCUUCUUUGCCCCCUGACCCCAAAUUAAUUAUGUUUUCUGCCUGAAAAGUCAUGAAGCACUCGGAGAUCUCUCCCUCUCUGCGAUCAGGGUCCCCUAAAGCGAUUCAGCCCAGCUGGCUGUAAAAAGGCCAUGCGAUGGGAAGGGGAGAGCUUGCAAAGCGGGGAGCGGGCGGGGAGGAAGCUGAUGCCUAGACCCAGCCAGCCUCCUCUCGGCAGUGGGAGUCAAAAGGCGCUCAUUUGUAGCCAGCAGAAAUGGAGCCCAGCUGAGAAGCAGCCAAGGAGACAAGGAUUUGGGGGCGGGGGGGAGGCGAGGAGUCUCAAUUCAGCUCCCGAGAUAAUGAGUGAAUAGACAGGAGAAGGAAGCUGGGCUUGUGUGUCUCUGUGUGUGGCAGCGUUGGGCUUGCACUCAGUCACACACAGUGCACGGUCUGUCUGUGAUGAGAUGACUGUGCAAAGCUUGGUGUACUGCCGGGUCCAGAUAGCUGCAGCUGCAACAGCACACCCACUCAUCUCCCUGCUGCCAAGGCAGGCUCUCAGAGCCCACCCACUCCCGGCUGCCUAGCACACCCACGCUCGGCGACGAGCGGCGGCACGUACACACAACCAGUUGCUGGUCGUGCCUCUCCGAAGGGUUUGCCACUCAGCAAAGCAGCUGUGCAACAAAUGUGCUCAUCAACGGGGAGACGGGGACUAUUAACUAACAGCUGUAGCUCUGUGAGGAAAUUAGCAGCAUUAGCACUUAUUUGCAACAUCACAACAGUAGCGAGAUAGCAGUUGAAGUUAUUUGCAUGACAGCAGGGCGUUCCAGGGUCGGAUCCCCGCACAGCCAUCAUGCUGUGCCUCUUAGCCUACCUCACAGGGUUGCAUAGCUGUCAACUUUUCCCUUUUCUUGCGAGGACUCCUAUUUGGAAUAAGGGAAUUUCCCUUUAAAAAAGGGAAACGUUGACAGCUAUGUUCCAGGAUAAAAUGGGUGGGGCAGAGAUCUAGGGAUGCAGCCAUGACCUCCUUGUAGGAAAAUGUGGUAUAUACAGUGGUACCUCAGGUUGCCGAUGCUUCAGGUUACAGGCGCUUGAGGUUACAGACUCCGCUAACCCAGAAAUAGUACCUCGGGUUAAGAACUUUGCUUCAGGAUGUGAACAGAAAUCGUGCUCCGGCAGCGGGAGGCCUCAUUAGCUAAAGUGGUCCUUCAGGUUAAGAACAGUUUCAGGUUAAGAACGGACCUCUGGAACGAAUUAAGUUCUUAACCAGAGGUACCACUGUAAAUGCAAUCAUUCUCAAUAUUUAUUAUUAUUUAUUUAUUGCGUUUAGAGCCCGCCUUUUCUCCAAGGAGGUGUACAUAGUUCUCCUUCUCAUUUAAUCCCCACAACAACCCAGUGAGGUGUGGGAGCACCUGCUGUGGUAGUGGCCUAAAGGGCCAUAAUGAAUGUAAUAAUGUAAACCACUAUAAAUCCUUGAAUAUGCUUCUAAUAGAGAAGUUAUGGUAACUUGUUGCUUUAAGAAACUGAUGAUUUUGCAAGAUGCCGUCCCCCGCUGGGAGAGAAGGACAGCUAAUACAGUGGACGCUCAGGUUGCGAACAUGAUCCAUGUGGGAGGCACGUUCACAACCUGCAGCGCAGUGUCUGUGCACACGUGGGUUGUGAUUCAGCGCUUCUGCGCAUGCGCAAAGCGCAAUUUCUGCUCAUGAGUGACUGCCGAAACCUGGAAGUAACCCGUUCCGGUACUUCCAGGUUUCGGCGUGUCUGUAACCCAAAAAACGCAAUCUGCAGCAUCUGUAACCUGAGGUAUGACUGUAUUUAAAUCACAAAGAUAUAGCUCAUAAGCUAGAACAUAAGUUGAUACAUGGUGCAAAUGGCUACACGUAACAGGUUCCCGACAUGCAUACUAACACUAUGUAACUGAUCACGGUGAGAAUCAAAGCUUAGUUAGCAAUGCUUAUUGUGCAUGUGUAUUAAACAUGAAAUGAGGUAAUGAUGUAUAUGAUGUAUAUGAUUGGUGGAAAUACAUCUUGAGGUGAAAGGCAACACGGCCGAAGAUAAUUCCAGCCUAUGCCUCGUGAACCUGUAGUUCACACAUAUACCCUGUCUGUUCCACCCCACCCCCCUAAUAUACCAACGUACCUGUUACUGUAGUUUUAGUUACCUCAGGCAGCAAGCAACUGGGAGAUUGCAUAUUUACUAAGCUAAGGGCCCCUGAUCGUCCAAUUGGAUUAAAUCAGCUCCAAGGUGCCCACAGAUCCCUAGAAUAAUGCUUAUUAUAAUCCUGUGUGUGCUUUUGAAUCUUUCUUUCCAGGGUUACUCAAAGGACUCAGAUAUAGUGCUAGCAGGUCUCCAGUUCAAUGAACAGGUGUUUAAACUAGAGGAACAGGUAAACCAGCUCCUAAGCUUCUUGAAAAGGGGGGAAUGAGGCAAUAAACAUAAACAUACCACAUGCUCACCACCCCCCUCAACACAAAGAAUACAAAUUCACAACAUAUACAGGACCUUCAGGUUUGAAUGGAGGGAGAUAUGAUUCAGUUUGCAUUUAAAAUUGAAUUUAUGAAAUCUGCACCCUCUGAAAUGAGACCCAAAUCGCACACUUCUGAAUUUUGUGAUGCAAUUCUCCAAACAAAGAAUGUUUACUAAGAUGCACAUUUUAGGGGAAAGAGUGCAUAAAAAAAAUAUUAGCAAAAAUAACAUAGAAAAAUGCAUCAUAUUGUGAAAAACUGCUUCGAUUUCUCCAAACUGCAUACACAAAUGUGUUUAUCCGGAGAAAUCCACCCUGAAAUGCUGAAGAGAUUUCACAAGGAUUUUUUUUUUAAGGCAACCACAAAUGGUUGAAGAAAUAUGGAGAACUGAAUUUGUGACUGGAAAAAUAGGAAUCAGAGAACAAACUGACAGAUUCUACCAUCCCUCACUGGGCAAUAGGUAUAGGUCACAAUAUAGAUUUUAACAUCUGGGGAAAACUCUAGAAAAGUGACUUGAAGUUUGCAGCAUGCUAUUCUUUGAAUAACUAGUUGAAAAUGAUUUACAGAUGGCAUUUAACUCUGAGUAGGCUUGCUAAGAUGUAUAAGACUGAAUCAGAUAAGUGCUGGAGAUGCAAAGAGGUGGAGGGAACAUUCUUUCAUAUGUAGUGGACUUGUAAAAGGGUAAAAGAUUAUUGGGAAAUGAUCCAUAAUGAAUUGGGGGGAAAAUGUUUAAAAGUACUUUCCCCCCCAAAAAGAGUCUUUUCUGUUGAGGAUAAUUCAGACUGAAAUUCCCAGAUGUCAAAAAAGGUUAUUUAUGUAUGCCACUACUGCAGCCCAUGUUUUGUUAGACCCAAAAUAGAAAACGAGCAAGGUCCUAACCAAAGAAGAAUGACAACUUAAGUUGACAGAAUAUGCGCAGCUUGCAGACUUAACAUAUAGAAUAAGAGAACAAGAAGAACAUAAGUUUAGAGAAGAUUGGAAAACGUUUAUUGAAUAUACAGGAAGUAAUUGUGUGCAGUUGAAAAUGCUGGCAGCAUUAAGAUGAAUUCAACAGUGUAAAUAAGUUUUGAUGGAUGCUAUAAUGGGAGACUGAAUGGUAUAGUUUUUGUAAAAUAUGCAGGGAUUUGUGAUAUGUAAAAUGAACCGUGGAAAGAGAAGAAGGGAAGUCAUUGAUAUCUUAAGGUUGUGAAAAUGAGUACAUACAGGAAAGGAAAGGCAUUCCCGUCUGCUCCAGUGUUUCACAAUUGGAACAGAUCAAAGUCCUGUUUCCAGAGUGCUUUGCUGAGCUCUCUCAACAGUGACAGCUUGGUCAGGUGAAACUCACAAUAAAAUUGGGGGGGGCGAAUUGCCAGGGAGCUGACAGCCCAUUAACAAUGGUUUGCAGGCUGGGUCUAGUGCACAGGCCAGAGGUUCACUGCCCCCGUUUAAAAGGUUAUGUCCAGAUUAAUGGGUUUACAGGUUUUUGUCACUCUCAUUAAGAAUAUUGAUAAAUAGCAAGCCAUACGUUUAGGAGGAGUUUCUCUUUGUUGGUCCAUAUGGAUAAGCCUGGAAGACAAAGCUAGCAGUUGGACUUGUUUGUAACUCUAAACUCCAACAACAACAAGAACCUCUUUUAAUAAAGUAAUUCUGGUUGCCCGUAAUACGAGGUGGUAAUUUGGAUGGUUUAUGAGUAUGCUUCUGCUUUUCGGUAACCCAUUAUCAGCCUAGCUUCCUGUUUCAGUUCAGCACAAUCUUUGAAAUGUAAGUGCUGUGCCAAACUCUGUUUUCUCAAUUCUCAGGGCACUUUAGAACUUUGUUAGAACUUUAGUAUUUUGUUAGAACUUUGUUAGAACUUUAGUAUUUUGUUACCAUUUUGCUGGGUGUGAGGAGUUUGAGAGCUGCUUAUUGUGGCAAGUUGGCCAAAGGUGUUUCUUCCCAGUAAAUAUUUGUCUGGCACUCUGCAGCCUCCCUGGCUACCUGACCUCCGUCAUCUGGAUAAAUCCCCAUGGGAAGAGUUGUCUCAGGACAUUUCCCCUGGGCUUUAAUUGAAGCCCAGGCACCUGGGAAGGCUGCAGAGAGCAGACCAUUAGUAAGACGAUUUCUGCAAUGAAGAAAGGAUACUUACAGAUACCCCAUACCACCUCAAAAGUAGUGUAAGCACAAGUAAAACCCCUGCACCUGACCCAUGAGAAUUUCACAGAAAUUUUCUCUGCAUUGAUAAUUUUUGAAUGCAAUUUCUUUUCUCAUUAACUGACGGAGAAUGGGGUGGGAGGAGCACAGGAGAAAUAUUAAACAGCACUUAAUAAGAAAAAAACCUGGCUUGACGCCCUCAGAGAUUAUGUUUAGAACUUCUUCUCAAUUUAGGCUAAUUUUGCCAUAUAGUUAUUAGGAUUCAGAGCCACACUGGAUGAUUUCCGAAAUAAAUGAAUGCAUUUCACAUGAAUGAUUUUUUUAAAAACUUAAGGCUCCACUGAGGUGGGAGGGGAGGAAUCAGGACUGGAACAAUGACAUUUGGGGAGGAGAAAUUUAACCCUUUUCUUUCACAUCAUUGACUUAGUAAAAUUCUCUCCCCAACUACCUGUUCUUGCCACCAAAACAUGCACAAAAAGCACCCGCCCAUUUUACAAGUUGUCUAGCUUGACCCUCAAGCGUUAAGAUGAUACUAUUUUGUUCUAGUUAAUGAAGUCCCGUAAUUAAUGUAGGGCUGCUGUCCAAUUAAAGCUUUCUUAGCCAAUUAAUCAGUUGAAUGAAUCAGUUAAAACGUAGAUUUGCAUACAAAAUUACUUUUUUAUUUUUCCUAAUUGCUCAUGUUAUUUCAGUAUUAGCUGCCUUGAAGAACCUUGGGUGAGUGGAAUAUCAAUAUAUCUUUUUAAAACAAGGCCAAUUUGGCAUGUUAAUGCUGUGAAAUUCUCCAUCACAUGCUCAUAUAUGUCUAAAUAAACCAUAUAUCAUAAAGUCACCACAGUCUCCGCUGCCCCUCAGUCUGAAAGGAAACAUGAUCCUUGCUCAGAGAUUGGGGUGAUGUGCCACAUUAUUUUAGCUGUUUUUAAGGAUACGUCUGAGGGACACGGGUGGCGCUGUGGGUUAAACCACAGAGCCUAAGACUUGCUGAUCAGAAGGUCAGUGGUUCGAAUCCCCGUGACGGGGUGAGCUCCCGUUGCUCGGUCCCUGCUCUUGCCAACCUAGCAGUUCGAAAACACGUCAAAGUGCAAGUAGAUAAAUAGGUACUCCGGCGGGAAGGUAAACGGCGUUUCUGUGCACUGCUCUGGUUUGCCAGAAGCGGCUUAGUCAUGCUGGCCACAUGACCCGGAAGCUGUACGCCGGCUCCCUCUGCCAAUAAAGCAAGAUGAGCGCCACAACCCCAGAGUCAGUCACGACUGGACCUAAUGGUCAGGGGUCCCUUUACCUUUACUAAGGAUACGUCUGGGCAUCACAGCUUAAGAAGGACAUUGACAAGCUGGAAUGUGUGCAGGAAAAAGAAGAAGAAGAGGAGGAGGAGGAGUUUGGACUUGAUAUCCCGCUUUAUCACUACCUGAAGGAGUCUCAAAGCAGCUAACAUUGUCCUUUCCCUUCCUCCCCCACAACAAACACUCUGUGAGGUGAGUGAGGCUAUGAGACUUCAAAGAAGUGUGACUAGCCCAAGGUCACCAAGCAGCUGCAGGUGGAGGAGCGGAGACGCGAACCCGGUUCCCCAGAUUACGAGACUACCGCUCUUAACCACUACACCACACUGGCUCUCAAGGGACCAGGGUGAUGAAAAAAGGGGUCUGGAAGCCAUUACUCUGAGAGACAUUUGAGGGAGUUUGAUAUGUUUAGCCUGGAGAAGAGAAGACUGAGAGGUGAUAGGAUAGCUGUCUUUUAAUAUCUGAAGGGCUGUUGCAUGGAAGAUGGAGUGAGCUUCUUUUCUGCUGCUCCAGAGAGUAGGACCUGAACCAACGGAUUCAAAUUACAAGAAAGGAGAUUCUGAUUAAAUAUUAGGAUACCCAUUUCUGACAGUUCAAGCUGCCUGACAAUGGAAUGUGAUUCUUCAGCAGUGAUUCCUGUGUUGCAGGGGGUUGGACUAGAUGAUUCUGAGUGUCCCAACCCUCUGGUUCUCUGAUUCUAAAUCUCCUUAGGACAUACAGAAGGCAGGCAUUUUGCUGUUAAAACCAUGCUGCUCACUUUUGCAGUUCAUUUUCUCCUCACACUGGAGCGGGAAUCAGAAUUAGGAGGCCUUUCUCUUUCCACGCUGAAUUUUUUCCUCAGGCUGCAGCCCUAGCUCCUACGUUGUGGUUUUAUUUUCUACUCCCCACAAAAGUAAAAGUAGUCACUUGUUAGGAAACUUCUGGGUUUUUUUAUUGUGUCAAAUGGAAGAAGUCGACAAAGCCUGGCUUUGCUGUGCAGCUAAGGCAGGCUAAUAAAGGCCACGUGCUGCUUCUUAAAUAGGAAACGGAGAGCCUAGCAUAAGCCUGGCUCCAUAGUACAUUUCCCUCCCAGCUCCUGAAGAAAUUAGAUGGUAAAAUAGGAAGAGAGGUAAGGGAGAAGAGAUAACCCAGGCAGGCAGGCAGGCAAGCAGGGAGGGGAUCCUCCUUCACUGGGUGUGUGAGAUAACCUAUCGCUUUCUUUACAUGUUGGUGGGGAAGCCUUCAGAAUUCAAUAAAAACUAGAAAUGUCAAAGGGUGGAGCUGCUUCCCUGUGUGGUGUAGUGGUUAGACUGCUGGACUAGGAUCUGGGAGAGCAGGGUUCGAAUCCCCACUCAGCCCUAGAGCUUACUGGGUGAUUGGGGGGAGGGUCACUGUCACUCAGCCUAACCUACCUCACAGGGUUGUUGUGAGGAUAAAAUCAGGAGGAGACAAACCCUGUAUGCCACCUUGCACUUCAUGGAGGAUAUAAAAGGUAAGAUAGAAGAAGAAGAAGAAGAAGAAGAGUUUGGAUUUGAUAUCCCGCUUUAUCACUACCCGAAGGAGUUUCAAAGCGGCUAACAAUAAUAAACAAACCAUGAAUACAGAUUGUAUCAAGGCCAGAUAGGCAGGGCAUAAAUUAUUAUUAUUAUUACUAAAACAAUGGUAUCUAACCUCUGGGUCUUCCAAUAUCAGCCCAAGUAAGAUCGGAUGAUACAAAUUGUUCAGUGGAGGACCACAGGCUAUCCCUGCUUUAAGGGAAUUGUUGUUGUUACUCUUAUUAUCUUUUUAAAAUAAAUUUAAAAUUUUUUUUUACAAUAACAACCAUUUCAUUGAAAACAAAACAAAAAAGAACUGAAAAAGAAGAACAAAGAAAAACAAACAAACAAACAACUUCUAAAUACAUUCUGAAUGUCAAUUCCAUAUUUUGGGAUUCCUUGAAUCCCCUGACUUCCCUCCACCCCCCAGCCCGGUUCUUUUGUAUUAUUUUCAGUUUUGCAUGUCAGCAACAAAGCUUUAUCACUAAUUACCUCCUAAUUUAAACAUUGUCCAUAACAUUACAUUGUCCAUAACAUUACAAGUGUGUGUGUUUUUUUAAUCCUGCUAGCGUGUUGACUUGUUUAAAUAUGCAAAAAUUACAAAAUUUGCUUUUGUAAAUAUGCAAUAAAGCUUUUUAUAUUUGUUAUCAUCUUGAUUUCUAGGUUUUCCAGUUAAUUUAGCCAUUUCCGCGUAUUCGAUUAACUUAGUCUGCCAAUCUUCUUCUGUAGGGACUUCUUCUUCUUUCCAAUGCUGGGCUAACAAUAUUCUUGUGGCUGUUGCAGCGUACAUAAACAAAGUUCUAUACUCUUUUGCUAAAUCAGUUCCUGUAAUUCCUAAUAGAAAAGCUUCAGAUUUUUUAACAAAGGUUUUUUUUAAAAAAAAUUCAAUUCAUUAUAUAUCAUUUCCCAAUUUUUUGAUAACCUUACAUUCCCACCACAUAUGAUAAAACAUACCUUCUACUUCUUUACAUUUCCAACACUUAUUCUCUUGUGUUUCAUACAUUUUUGCUAAUUUUACCAGUAGGUACCAUCUGUACAUCAUUUUCAUAAGAUUCUCUUUAAGUAAGGUACAUGCCAUGAAUUUUAUAUCAUUUUCCCAUAGUCUUUCCCAGUCUAAUAUAUAAUGUUAUGUCUCACGUCCAUUGCCCACUUUAUCAUAACACACUUAAACUCUUCAUCCUUGGUUUCCCAUUCCACCAAUAUGUUAUACAUUUUUGAUAUUAUUUUAUUAUCAUUUUCUAUAAUUUCUCUCCGAAAGUUUGAAAUUUCAUAAUUAAAUCCUAUUUUGUCAUUUUUAAAUACUGUACCUCUUUUAACUGGAAGUAUUGUAGCCAAUCUGUUACUUUCCCUCUUAUUUCUUGAAAUUUCUUCAAUUUUAAUUGAUUAUCAGUUUCCAUUAACAGCUCUCUAUAUGUUGCUCAAUCAGUUUUUGUAUUUGAUUUUUUCAUUGAUAUUGCUUCCAAAGGUGAAAACCACCAUGAUUUUUUUUGUUCUAAGGUAUCCUUAUAUUUUUCCCACGCUUUGAAAAUUGCAUUCUUUAUUAUAUGAUUCUGGAAGCUUUUAUGUACUUUUGCUUUUUGAUAUCAUAGAUAUGCAUGCCAGCUAAAUCUAUUUGCAUGUCCUUCUAAAUCUACUAAAUCUGUAUUUUUUAAUAAUAUCCAAUCCCGGAUCCAGCAAAUGCAAGAGGAUUCAUAAUAUAAUUUUAUAUCUGGUAAGGUGAAGCCACCUCUUUCUUUAAGAUCUGUUAACAAUUUAUAUUUUAUUCUUGGCUUCUAUUGCUACUCUUACUAUCAUCCUCUUUAUACAACAACAGUAGUUAUUAGUGUUGUGGGUUUUUCGGGGUGCAAGGUCCCCCUAAAAUUCCUGGGUGCCAGGUUCUCGCCAUAAUUUCUGAAGUUAUUAAAUUGUGAGGUUUGAAGUCUAGUCAGCCUCCUGAGGAGCUGGGCUUAGAGAGGUGCCAUUCAAGAACAAAGACAAGCGAUAGCAGAGUCAGUAGCCUGACAAAAGGUAAGAUGUUUGGCAUCAGGCAAGAAAGGGGGAGGCUGCCAGGAUUACAGGUGGCAUGUAACACUGUUUUAUCUAGCAGCCCCAGAGCUAGGGAUGUACAGUAAUUGAUUUGGUUGUUAUUGAAGAAGAGAACAACCCGCUCAUAGCUUCACAAUGGUAAAAGAUGAGACUGUAUUUUAUAGUUUUCCCCUUUAAAAUAUUUCUUAUGUGAUAGGAAUUUCUCUUUUGUAGAACUGUUUGCUUCUUGGUGAAGGCUGUAGGGCAAAGGUGGACAAGAGUAUGGUCAAGAUAUCAAGAUUCACCUUGUUUAAUGCCUUCAUAUCACAAAAGAACCGUAAAGGCAAGCCUUCAGCUGGACAGAUAUUUCACAGAUUCUAGCAACUGACAGUUGGCAACCUAAUUGCAUUAGGAUAGUGAGCGAGCUGGACCUAACUCCUGUGGCUUAAAAAGAAAACUUGGAAAAGAUUGAGUCAUGCAGGCAGAUUCCCAUGAUAAGAGAGGAGUGGUAGAUAGCAGCUUCACAGCAAUCCUAUUCCCCACAAUAAAUCCUGCUGAGGUCAAUGAGACUAAAUUUCCAGAAAAGAAGGUAAAGGAUUACAGCUGUUAUGUAUUCAGUGGUCUGUGUUUGGCUGAGAUUGAGUCUGGACUAAGGAUUCUGAGCCCCCGCGUUCUGAUUCGAUACAUGAUAUCCAAUCACAGAACAUUUCAGGAUUUGGGACUCUGCCAUUGGCCGUUAAACUCUGAGUCAUGAUUUGCAGCUUGGAAGUUUAGAUAGCCAAUCACACUAGAAGUGGGUUUGGCCCAGGCAUUCAGAAAUGUAUAUAAGCAGUUGCUUUGCCCCUGUUGUCCAGUUCUGUUAGUUCAAUAAAGGUUCCUGCUAUUUUCUCUGUGUCUUGCCUUGUGGGAACUCACCUACACUUCAACAGCCUCAUAAGAUGAAUUCCAAAACCAAUUCUGUUUGUUUUUUAAAAAAUUAUUUCAGGCAUGGGAGAAUGUCUUUAAUUUUCACCAUGGAGGGCCAACCACCAUCUUGCUUCCUGCAAUGACCAAGCAAAUGACCCCCUGAGAAGGCUACAAGCUUGGCAUGAAGGCAACGACCUUCUUCCACUGCUGCUUCCUAGUAGCUGAUAUCCACUGAUAGACUGCCUCUGAACAUGGAAGUUUCAUGCAGCCAUCUUGACUAAUAGCCAGUGAUUACCCUCUUCCUCCGUGGAACGAUCCAAUCACUUUAGAUAGGGGACAUUGCCACAUCUUCCUGUACAGAAUUACAUUGGAUUAAGCCGGCAUUCUGUCAGGGAUGGGGAAUCUGUGGUCCUACAGAUGUUCUCAGGCUACAAUGUCCACCUGUCCCAUCCGGCACGGUCAACAGUCAGGGAGGAUGGAAGCUGUAGUUCAGCAGCAUCAGGGGUGCUGUAGGUGCGAAAGGUUUCCCAACCCUGCAUUGUCUGCGGAAAUGCUUUAUUGUUGUCUGUCCUGCAACUGCUGCAAACCAGCUUCAUUGGACGACCCCAACCUGUCGACCUGUCAUUUCUCUCUGCAAGCUUCUCUUUUCUAUUUGAGAGCCUUCCUGGGUCCCUCUUGUACAUGGCUUUUAUUCUUAGCAAUCCCUCCCCCUGCAGUGCUUGGCAGUCUGUGUGUGUUCGUCUAAAAGGCAUGCUUCUGUUUCUGCCCUAAGAUUCUAGUGAACCAAAGUAAUUUGUUAUCAGCUGGCAUGGUUGCAAGAGUCUGGGAGGUCAGGAGCAGAGCUUGAGCAGAUCACAAUGCACUGAGAUGAUUUUAAUUGGACAUGAUUCCGCCCAAGAAAGGUCUGAGCGACUGGUGUCCUGCUGGUCUCAUCAGCUACCAGCUUUCCUGCUCCGCUAAUGCCUAGCUGAAGGAGGCAAUCAAAAGGCAGCUGCAUUUUAGUGUUCCUCGCUUAUUUCUUCCCUCAGCAACAUCUCCAGAAGCGCCUAAAUUAUGGAUGCUGCUCUUGCCCGCCUUGCCAGUGCCUGUCGUUCUACUCCUGUCCUGACCCACUUGCUUGUGAGAAUCUUAGCUGUGUGCGUUGUGGGGCAGGCGUGAGGAGUGGUGCAGCUAUAUCUGUACAGAAACUGUGCUGCCGACGGUAUAAAAUUGAGUUAGUUUGCGGAGGUGUUUAAGGAGCCCUUACUGUGGGGGCCUAUCCAUGUUCAAAUGCGGCCCCUUAUCUCUGCCACAAUUAUGGCCUCCGUGCCUCUGCGCCACUUACUCUUCAUCAUUUAUAAACCAGGCAAAUAGAAGUUUCCAGCUUUAUAGAGUGAUGUUGAGUGGAUAACUGUGUUAAAGAUUACGAGGCAUUCUGAUGCUAUGGAUACAGCGCCAGUAGGAGACAGAUGGAGGGGUCGGGCCUGUCAAGAGUGUGUUGUGAGAGAAUUCGUGCAUGCCUAGGUACAGCUAUGGGAAGAUUUCCUGAUUAAAACCUCUUUGUUUUUCUGUUGAUGAGUGUUGGCAACUACACCUACAGAAAUCACUCCCAGCUGGUGUCUUCUCCACACAACAGUCUCUAGUCAUGCAUGUACUUGUAAGUGACUGUAUGGAUCCGUUUCUCAGUAUAUACCGCCCUUAGCAAGUCAGUGUUCUCCGGAGACCUUGGCAUCCUGCAACUUUUUCUUUCUCUGUUUUUUUGGACUAGGUUAUCUGCACAGACCCACGCAACAACAAACAACAACACCCCCUUCUGCCAUGCCAAAACACACAUAAUAUGAAACGAGAUGGUGGUUUUUGUCUCCACCUCGCUCUCUUUUAGCAAACAGAGAGGUGCUCAGCUGGAGCGAGCAAGAGGCAGCACGCACCCCUCUGUGCAAGCAGCAUGUCUCAGCCAGCGAGUGCAUUGUCAGGAAAUCAAAGCAACCUGCUAUUAUUUCCGGAGCCCAGGAUAUACUCAAAUCAAGUUUGCCAAACACUCAAAUAGCACUGUCCCUGAUUUGAAAGAGCUCACAGGUGAGAGAGAAGAAACAAGGAGUUCCUUCUUGGGUAGCCAAGAGAAUUUACAAGCUUAAGGAAUUGAGGAGACUCAUGAGAAUUUAUGAGCUUCCGAGGGGGAAAUGCCGUAUGCAAAAGGCAACAGUUUCUAUGGUGCCAAAACAGAACAUUGGCACAGAACUGCCGCGAAACAAACCGUUAAGAGAGCUGGUAUGUUGCCCACAACCACAAGCUCCACUGGUCACUGGUUCCUACAUCAUUCUGUUUUGUUUUUUUAAAUGAUAUUUAUUAAAGUUUCAUAGAAAAAGAGAAUUACACAAAAACAAAAAGUAAAGAUACAGGAAAAAUACAAAAUACAAACUACAGAAUACAAGAAUAAAAGACACUUAAGAAGAAGAAGAAGAAGAAGAAGAAAAAAGAAUAAUGGAUCAAUCUUUCCAUAGCUUACGUUCAUAUCCUUGUUUCCCUGACCUCCUCAUACCUCCCUUUUUUGUAUUCCAGUUCAAUUAGUUAAGUCAGCAAUUUCUUUUCCUCUUUGUUUUCUCAUGAUCCUUUAACUUAAUAUACUAUAACUUUAAAUUUUCAUCUGUUAUCAAGCCUUUUUUACAUACACCUUUAUAGCGUUACUGCUUAAACCACCUAGCUUCAAUCCAACAUCAUUCUAACAUUCAUUAAUUUUGCAAUAUUUCUGUAAAUAGUCUUUAAAUUUCUUCCAAUCUUCUUCCACCGACUCUUCUCCCUGGUCUCGGAUUCUGCCAGUCAUUUCCGCCAAUUCCAUGUAGUCCAUCACCUUCAUCUGCCAUGGUUCCUACAUCAUUCUGCUCACUGCUGGUUCAUUUCCUCCUGCACCAAAAUCCAGAUGCAUAACUUCCAACAUGGGGGACAGAUGGAAGUAGCCCCUCAUAAUGUGGUACAUCACAAAAUGCAACCAGGGGCCAUUUCUGUCAUCUGACACACCCACCAAAGAAGUGUGAAAACCUAAAAUAUAGAGCUCCCUACCAGCAAAUAUUAGAUCCUAUUAUUCUAGGCUCUAACUUUUAUGUUUUUUGUUGUUGUUGUUUUAAAACUUAAUAUACAGCACACUAAAUUGCAGAUCAGAUAGCAAAGUAAAGGGGCAGCUGUUAUUUUCUGUACAAGAGGACACAGCAUGUACACCACAGUACAAUGUGCAGAUGUGGUGUAUACCAGGUUCCCCCAGAUGUGCCUGGGCCACAGCUUCCACCAGUCUGGCCCAGCAUAGUCAAUGGUCAGGUGUAAUGGGAGCCAUAGUCGAAAACAUCUGGAAACCAGGCACCAGCACAGGAUUUUGUUUUGCUUGCUACAGAUUUAAAAACCAGAGCAGCAGCAAAUGAUAAUGCAUUUGGAUGUUGUUUAUUGUACAUGACUUUGAGGUAGUAGGUGGGCUACAAAUGGGUGGAUUGACUGGCGGAUUUAGACAGGAGGAGCCCGAACCACUUUCAAAGCUUUCCAGAAAAACUGCCUGCCAUAUUUUCCUCAGACCCACCCAUGAGGCAAGGUGCAGUGAGCACCACAGGUGGCAGGAUUCAUAGGGGCAGCAGACCCCAAUACUGACUUUUAUUGACCUUGGACAAUGUCAUCAAUUCCAGGCUACCUGGGUGGCUUCUCACUUGUGUUGAUGGAUGGAUGAAGUGCUAGUGGGUCAACGUCUUUCUUUCUGCAAGCUGCUUCUUCCCUUGAGGUCUUUCAAGUGUACUGUGGGCCAGCCAUCCCAAGUGUGCUGGCUGGAGCUAAUGGGAGUCAUUGUCCAAAGAAUCUGGAGGGCACCAGGUUGGGGAAGGUCACUACAGGUCAAGUUGUUUCCUUCCUCCUUUCUUCCCCGUGGGGUUUUUAGAGCAUGCUAUGGAGGCUGCGCCAUCUCCUUUUUUAUUUUGUGCUUCCUUCCACUGGUGAUAGUGAUAAAUUAUAAUUAGACCUGACUGGAGCAUUAAAUUAACUGCAUGGUUUUUGUAGUUUUCAAAAGCUGUAUAUUAUUAUUAUUUUUUUUGCAAAUAAAGGCAGAGCAGUGUGUUUCCUGGAGUCAUGUGCAUUCUUAGUCAUGUUUGUUUGGACAAAUGCAGAUUAAUUAUGAAAAUUCCUUAUGAUUCCUUGUCUCUCUCACAUUUCUGCUUAUGUGCACAAGUGCUGCCUGCUGAGUUCUUUUUAGGUUGCCUUAGUAACUUGCUUCCACUCUCGCCUUACCCCCCAAAACCUCUCUCCACUUGGUGCUGUUCAAUUCAUGAUGGGUUUUGAGAACCCUUGGUCUGGGUUAAAACAAAGUCACUGAAACUGAAGAAUAAGACAGCAGUGGGCCAUGUCCUCCGCAAUCAAGGUAUGACUCCUGUGAUUGCAAAGUUGAAAACAUCCAGGUUUUAAAGACCUAAUCUGAGGAGUGGUAUUUGGGAUGCCAUUACCCAUUUGACUUUGCUUCAUCCACGCCUACAGCAUCGGUGUCUCUGAUCCAGCUAUGAAGGUCAACAUGUUUAAGGCUUCCUAAGGCUUCAUAAUACCAAUUUCUUGCUGGAUGAGGAAGCACCGGUAUAACUCUGGUGUGCAUGCAAACAUGGAUGUCACGUGUGUGCAUGCCGUGUUGGUUUCAAAGGCUUGCAUGUACUGAUUCACAUUCCCAAGUGGGCUUCAAAGGGAUGUACGUGUAUUCUAAAUGUUCACUCAAAUAAUCAAACCCAUUCACAUGUGGGCACAACAAGUAAAUCCCUUUUAAAGAGUUACUAGACCUUGAAUCAUAGAAUCUUAGAGUUGGAAGGGACCUUGAGAAUCAUCUAGUCCAACCCCCUGCAAUGCAGGAAUCUCAACUAAAGCAUCCAUGACAGAUGACCAUCCAAUCUCUGUUUAAAAACCUCCACGGAAGAGGAGUCCACCACCUCUUGUGGGGGUCUGUUCCACUGCCAAACAGCUCUUACUGUCAGAAAGUUUUUCUGAACGUUUAGUCGGAAUCUCCUUUCUUGCAACUUGAAGCCUGUGGCUCGAGUCCUACCCUCCAGAGCAGGAGAAAACAAGCAUGCUCCCUCCUCCAUGUGACAGCCCAUGAGGUAUUUGAAGAUGGCUAUCAUAUCUCUUCUCAGUCUUCUCUUUUAUAGGCUAAACAUACCUAGCUCCUUCAAGCGCUCCUCAUAAGGCUUGGUUUCCAGGCCCUUGAUCAUCUUGGUUGCCCUCCUCUGCACAUGUUCCAGCUUGUCAACAUCCUUCUUAAAUUGUGGUGCCCAGAAAUGGACACAGUAUUCCAAGUGUGGUCUGACUAAGAGCUUUACGAAGCAGUUCUCAUGACAGAGGGCCUCUUUUGACGCCAGCACAUUCUGGCAGCUGGGGGGAAGUCACAACCCAUCCCAACACGCAGCCACGUCAGUCCUUGGCAGGCAACCAUGUGUCCUGCUGUUGCAUACUGAACUUAGUUCAGGUUGGCUUUUGCAAAUGAAUGAGCACCUAGAACUGUACCCGCAUGCUGAAAAUUCCCCCGGGACAAAUGGCAGCAUGUGGUGAUGGAACGUGUAUGAUCACCAUGUUGCACAAUAAAGGGCUUGGGAGACAGAGCAUUUGGGGAGUAUUCAUACAGACAUCCACACACUGAGAUGAUUAUUGGGAAAGAACCAUAGAUGAGUAAUAGAACAUCUGCCUUUCGUGUAGAAGCUUCCAGUUUCAAUUGCCCACAGCUCCAGGGAGGGUGGACAGAGAGCCACUGACAGUCAGGCCUGGUGUGGGGAACUUUUGACCCUCCAGAUGUUGCUGAAGGACAGCUCCCAUCAUCCCCAACCACUGACCAUUCUGACUGGGGCUGAUGAGAGUUGUUGCGUGGCGAGUUCCCGCCCCCCACCAGGGUAAAUAAAGACUCAAGACACCAAAUUUAAGGUUAAAUGGGCGAAUUAGGCCACAACUUUAUUGAAUUCAGGAAUGAGAGGCAUUGGCUUAGGCAUUGGUCCUAUCGACUAUCCGGCUCCAGCCCAUUUGCUGGAGACACGGGAAGGGUUAACACCAUAGAGGGGGAGUCUCCUGCUGAGGCACGUCAACUAGGAGCUCCCCGGGUCACCGCUCGGGGGCGUGCCUUUGGCCCACACCUCCAUAGGCUUCGGACAGGGCCACGCCCCCCGGAGUCCUUUAUCGGACCACCCUUCGUUCACUGGGGGGAGGUGAUGGCGUUCCUCCCCCCCCAUCCUCUUAACCCCUUCUUACCAAUGCCUAACCGCCAAUGCCAAGGAGUUGUGACGAGUUGCUAUGAGGUAGGCGAAAAAUCAAAUGGCUAUAAAUUGCCAAUUGGGAAAAAUUCCUACCAUGCCCCUUGUGGCGACAGACCAAAGUCCAUAGCAAAGUCAGAGACCUACCUAAAGCCUACCCACAGGGAGGGAGGGUGGGAAAACGUGGGGCUAGCUGGCGAAAAGAGGGCGAGCCCCCUCUGCGCCGGCCCUAAAUAGGGCAGGCCACCCCCCUCAGCCAGACGAUUGGCUGGCUGGGGGGGGAAGACACGGCCGGGAUUCCCCUGCUCUCACGGGGGCUGAAACCAGCCCCCGCUCAAGUGGGGGUGGGCGUGAAGCCCGCAACCCCACCUCCUGGGCAGGCCGGAAGUGGCUUUGUUCAGCAGCAUCUGGAGGGGCAAAGAUUCCCCUACAUCUGGCAAACAUAGUACUGAACUAGUGGCCUGGCCUGGUGGUAGGCGGCUUCCUGUGCUUUACAUGCAGACUGUAUAUAAACACACUUGGUCCAUGGUCUUGGUGUACCAGUCAUGUGAAACCAAGUGCAUACAAGGUAAGUUUUCUUAUCCAAACAAUGGUGUAGCGAUUAGUGUGUGGAACUGGAUGAAAGUCAAAAUUUCCUGAUAGCCAUAUAGUUCAGUGGGUGACCUUGGGCCUGUUACGCACAUCUGUUCUAUCUCACAGAAUUGUUGUGUGCAUAAAUUGGAGCAGAAUUGCGUAUGCCACCCUGAGCUUCAUGGAGAAAGGGUGGCUGAUAUCCAUCUGUCUUGGGAGACAAUGGGGGAGUGUGCUUUUUGGGGUGAAGUCAAGCUGUUAGAUGGUUGCAGUGCCUGCUGUGGCUGUAGAGACAUGUUUUGUUGAAGCUGGGGUAGACAAAGGUGUCCGGUUGUGCUGCUGCAGAUGCACCAUGGCGUUUCAUUUCAGUCUUGUCUGAUUGGCAGCAGCUCUGUAGGGACCCAGGCAGGGGUCUUCACCCUCAAGCAGUUACCUGAUUGGUUUAAUAACUGGAGACAGGAAGGAAGCCUGAGCCAGCUUCCUUCUGCAUGCAAAGCAUGCAUGCUGCCACUGAGCUAUAGCAUCUUCCCAUCAUAAGCUAUAAGCACUAUUGAUUUUAAUUUAGUCGCUCCUCUAACUCUGUUGUUAAAUUUGGCUGACUUAACAAGUGCUUUUGGAAGCCUGAUCUGAUUCUAAAAAGGGUUCUGGGUCCCUCCUACUUUGUUUGGUCAAAAAAAGAACUUCCUUUUUAGAUUCAAACAGCUUUGAGAGGUUAGAUUUCACCCACUAUUUAAGAAACAACAAGAAGCUGUACCUCCGCUCUGCCAGUGGGUAGUUUUUUAGCAGUGGGUUGCUAAAGAUUGUGUGCCUUUUGCUGUGAAAUAGAUUUUCAGGAGGGAAAACACAAUUCAUGGGAAUUAAUAUGCAGUUUGUUCUUGCUUGAAAUUUUCGUGUGUCUCCCAGCAUUCUUGUGUCAGUUUAUAAAUAUUAAUAAAUAACCAUUAGUUUUGUCUGACAGAUGCAAUUAAUUAAUGGCUUGUUUUUUCGAAAGUAUUUGAGCAAACACACCCAGACUGUUUGGUGAAUUUCAUGUGCUCAUCUGCUUUCUUUGCCAUAUAUAUUAGGUUAACAUUUCAAAACUUCCCUUUCCGUUCCUUAUGUCUUCCUCAUUUUCUUCCUCUGCCAAACUGUGGAACAAAGUACAGGCCGGAUGUUAUCUUCCCAUGAUUAAUGUAACUAAAAUCAACUUAUGUCAUGGAUAAAUGUGAGUGAGUCUGUCCCAUCAACAUCUACAAAAUGAAUCAUUCCAGCAGAACUGGCAUUAUUAUUAUUAAUGAUUUGCAAUUUGAAUUGCUUAUUAGAAAAGAGGUUUGAAGAGAGUCUCUCACACUACUGGCACCACUUAGCUCCUUUUAAGACCAGUGGCAGUCAGUGGCAGUGGUGGUUCACUAGGCCAAACUACAGCCAGCAUAGCACAGAAAUAUGGAUGGAAAAGAUCUUGCUGCCAUUGCCUUUAGGGACCAGGAGGCAGUGCUAGAGGUGGGGUGGCAUAGCCAGCAACAUGUUGGCAUCUGUCUGUCCAUGAGGCAAUGGAGUGCGCCUCUGGGGGUGGAGUCAAACCAUGAUGUUAGCAGCACUGAAGUGCCCUCUCCGAGGUGCAAGCCUGGGCAGUGUGUAUGGAGGUCCUGGGCUGCCCAGAUUACAAGACACACCCACCCCCAAUCUCGACCACACUGAUGUGGUCAAAAGGAAAGCAGAGCAAUCCAUCUGGUACCAGCUUGGCUGCAGGAGUUGCCAGAAGGAGGCGUACAAGGUGCAAGGCGUACAAGGUGCCAUCUUAGGGCCUCCACUCCGGAUUUGUGUAGAGUUUACGCCUUAACUUUUCUUUUCCUGAAACUAUCCCACGAGGCAACAGAGGUUUUCCUUUUCCUUUUUUUGUUGUUGCUAAUGUCAUGUGUGUGUUUUUAAAAAAUAUUUAUACUUUUCAAGUUUGUUUAUUUCACUAAUUUUACAAUCAUUUUGACAUUUCAAAACUUGACUUCCUUCCCCCUCUUUCUACAGUCCCUUAAAUUUAUUUUUAAUAUCUUCUCCAUAUCCAAAUUAACAAUUUACUCAUUUAUUCAUCUUCUUUAAAUAUACAGUAGAAUCUCUACUUAUGACCACCUCUACUUGGGCCUGAUCCAAGUUGCGACUGUGGCAAACCCGGAAGUAAAUACCGGGUUUGCUGUGAUUUGCACACACGCAGAAGUGGCUACCGCCGUCUGCACAUGUGCACAACGGCGCUUCUACCAGUGACCCGUUUUGCCUAAAGGACAGGCCGCCACAAUGUUCCACUGUAUACUCUUAUGAAACUGCAGGUUAGUACAAUACAGUGGUACCUCGGGUUACAUACACUUCAGGUUACAUACGCUUCAGGUUACAGACUCCGCUAACCCAGAAAUAGUACCUCGGGUUAAGAACCUUGCUUCAGGAUGAGAACAGAAAUCCUGCGGUGGCGGCACAGCGGCAGCAGGAGGCCCCAUUAGCUAAAGUGGUGCUUCAGGUUAAGAACAGUUUCAGGUUAAGAACAGACCUCCAGAACGAAUUAAGUUCUUAACCCGAGGUACCACUGUAACUCUGCCAAUGUUUUUCUCUGUUUUCAAUUUAUCUGUAAAUAUUCAAUAUGAGUUUUCCUUUUCCUAGAUGGACUACCUUCCCAGACUGACUAGCCACAUCUGCCCCUCACUUCCUUCUACAGCAUGUGCAGAAACCACCUUCUUGACCAUUGGAACCACUAUUGGCUCAAUCUGCCAGAGCCUGUCUUCACAUGCAGCAGAAGUCCCUAACUCACUGAGGGCUCGGGACCCAUUGGGCUGCCCUCACCUGGUUUAGCCGGCUACUUGAAGCCGCUCCCGGGGUGUGGCUGCUGUCACAUGCUGACAGCUUCUAAGAGCCACAGGUGAAAGCUGAACGCAGGGUGGGGGUCAAAGGGUCUUUCACUGUUGUCUGGGAAAGGGGGUAUUAUUGCUGUCUGGAGAUGGGUUAUUAAGAACAACAGGCUCAGGUAAUGAAUUGGCACAAGUACAGCCGCUGUCUCCCACUGCAGCAGAGUCACCUGCAUUCCUUAGCCCCUCAGGUCAUGUUCAAGAGGUGUCUCCUGUCCCUGGCAGAGACCGAGCUUAGAUUUCUGAAAAAAUGCAAAAGUGGGCACUUUCUUUUAAACUGAGGCAGACUAUGCUUGCUGGAGGGAGCCCAUCACUUGCAGAGGAUAAAUAAUGGCUGGAUUGGAGGCAUCGUUUGCGCUGGAUGUGAUGCUGUGACUGGGAUUUUUAUUAAGGGAACACAAUCAUGAUGUCAUUCACUGCGGGGAAAUGUCUAUUUACAUGAGUCAGCCCUUGUAAUUAGGCAACCUUUGGGGAUUCCCAUCAAUAUAUGCAACAUGGCUCAAGCUUCCUCAUAUCACUUUCAUUUUGCUCUUUGCUCACAAGUGAGGUCAUAGUCUGGAACUGACACUCCCUUCUUUGGGUGCAGUUGUCCAUUGUGAAAACAGGAUGCUGGACAGGAUGAGCUAUAAGCCUGAUCCAGCAGGCUCUUCAGCAGGUUCUAGGGACGCGGGUGGCACUGUGGACUAAACCACUGAGCCUCUUGGGCUUGCUGAUCAGAAGGUCGACAGUUCAAAUCCCUGCGACAGGGUGAGCUCCCAUUGCUGUCCCAGCUCCUGCCAACCUAGCAGUUCGAAAGCACGCCAGUGCAAGUAGACAAAUAAGUACCGCUGCUGUGGGAAGGUAAACAGCGUUUCCGUGUGCUCUGGCACUCAUUACAGUACUCUCUGCACCAGAAGUGGUUUAGUCAUGCUGGCCACAUGACCUGGAAAGCUGUCUGUGGACAAACACCAGCUCCCUUGGCCUGAAAGCAAGAGGAGUGCCGCAAACCCAUAGUCGCUUUUGACUGGACUUAACCGUCCAGGGGUCCUUUACCUUUUUACCUUUACCUUCAGCAGGUUCUGAUGGUUCUGAUGGUCCCCCUUCUCACUGUCUCAGAAUUCAUGUACGGCCAAUGUUCUGGCGGCCGCAUGCCAAAAGUGGGUGUGGCUACCCCAUAUUUGUCUACACACUUCUGCAUGCACACACAACACACACACCCUCCCCUCCUCAGCUGAUUUGUUGCCUGACGAUGGGCGAGGAGGGUUUUUUGAACCCCUUCAGGGUGCUUCCCCCACCCCAGUGUUAUGUCUGCUUUUUUAAUUUUUGCUUCCACUACCAAAGUCAAAUGGGUCUUGAAUUACCAGAAAAAGACUGCUUUGUUGAGAUGGAUGAAGCCCCCUAACUAUGUGUUGGCCACCCCGUUCUAUGUUUUCAAAAGCAUAUAAAUCGGAGUCCUUAAGCCACUUGUCUGCUUAUGUAAUCCUCCUUCCUCCAUUUCCUUUUGCAUUGCUUCAUUCAAAACCUUUGAAAUGCAGCCGACAAAGGAGGCUAAAUAAUAUCUAAUGCAUAAAUAAAGCAUUUUCGAUGAAUCUAAAAUUAGAUCUAAUGCACAAGAGAAAGAAUGCUAUGCAGUUGUAAAAUACAUAAGAACGCAUAUUUCUCCUCAGUUCAUAACAUGCUGCAUUACUCCUUCAAGGGUCAUUUCAAAAAUGGCAGUCAGAGAGGUCUCCCUUUUGACUUGCACCUACUCAAGAUAGAUGGUAUGCUAUGGUUAAAACAUGAAGGGGAAGUGGGAAUAUCAACCACCAGCUUGUUAGGGCAGAGAACAAGACAGCUGGCAACGACCUUCACUGGGGGAAAAGUGACUGGAAGGAGACCAAAUGUAUUUAUUUAUUUAAAAUGUUUUUACCUAGCCUUUCCUCGAAUAGGUCAAAGCAGCUUAAAAACAAACAAACAACCACAACCAUCAAUUUUUAAAAACUGCAGUAAGAGGCAUGAUAAAACAAAAUUAAAAAAUUCAUUUGUUGAAAAUGGUAAGGAUUGGCAAUUGUUAUGGCAGGCAAGCAAUCAUCCACUGAGGCCCUUAUUCAUGUGCCUCCUCCACAAAAGACCCGGAGGGUGGCCUUUUCUGCAAUGGCUCCCCAUUUGUGAAAUGCUCUUCCUGGGGAAGGUUGCCUUGCCUGGUGUCUUUGUUACAUCUCUUCAAGCGCCUGGCAAAAAACAUUCAUCUUUUCCCAGGCCUUGGGCUAAUUAAACAAGCUAUGGAUUUUGAAACUGUAUGAUGGGCGGGAGGCAGGGGGCGGGAUUUUGUUUGUUUGCUUGUUUGUUUGUUAUGUACUUUUGUGUUUUUGUAUUGUAAACCACCCUGUGAAACUCAGAUGAAGGGCAGUAUAGAAAUUUAAUACAGUCAGACCUCGGUUUCCAAAUGCCUCUUCUGUUUUGGAACCUUUCAGCUCCCGAAUGCCAAAAACCCAGAAGUAACUGUAACGAUUUUCAGAAGCAAAACGAGCUUCCGUUUUGAGUUUCCCUGUUGUACUGAGGCUUCCGCUUUCAGUUUUCGGUUGUCGAACGUUUCUACAACCGAGGUUUGACUGUAAAUUACAAUAAUAAUAUCCAGCCUUUGAGGGCCAAGGGGCCAUUCUUUAUAAAAAGGUCUGAGUGCUGCAGCAGAAGGCAGGCAAGGAGGGGUGGGCAGUGGGAGCCGCCCUUGGUAGGCCGCUCUAAUGUGUGGGUGCAGUAUCAGAGUAGCACCCCCCCGACCUUUCCCCCCUGUCCCAACCAAACAUGGCCCUGGACCUUACAAGAGGUCCUCUGCAGAUAUAUUGCAAGGGCCCUGUAGGAAGCAGGAGCAAUGUGUGUCCCUUUGUGCAAAUUCUAUAUUUAUAAUCAGAAGCUUCUUCAAAGCCCCGGUGCCAAGUAUCACUGUUACGUCUUGUAAUCCCUUCUUCAGUGAGCUUCCAGCAGUGCUUUCCUGCCACUUGCAGCUUGCGCAGAACGUGGCAUCAGAGUUGUUUACUUUACUGAUUUUGACAACUGUGACCAUAUUUCUCCAGCUCCGUUCUCUGCAUAUGCUGCCUGGAGGUAACUGGAUUAAAAUCAGCAUUGCAGAGUUUGUUUCCAAAGCCGCAAACCGAAUAGAUCCUGGCUCUGUCUGAGCACAGACACCAUGCAUGGUUCGGGGACCCUGCCAUCAUAGGAUAGAAUCAUAGAUCUGUGGAGUUGGAAGGGACCCCAAUGCAAUGCAGCAAUCUCAACUAAAGCAUCCAUUACAGAUUCAUCAUUACUUCUCAAGUCAGAGGUUUUUUAGGUUUCCCUUCUGUAUACGCUGACCUGUGAGUAGGAAUGGGUGAACUUGUCAGUAUCUCCUAUUUCCAGUCUUAAAUUCAGUUAUCUACAUUUCCACACCAAUCUAAUGUCCUCAUAAAAAUCCAUCAGCAUUUUUCGUGCAAAUCUCUCCUAAUGACACAUUUUGUAUGCAAUUUUGCCCAAUAUACACAUUUUUGCAAAGCAUAUUCCCCACCGCACUGCCAAUUCAAUGCAUUUCUGUUCAAUUAUUUUUCACUCACAUAUGCAGUUUUUAACGCACACUUUACCCAAGUACAUGCUGUUUUGUACACAUUACUCAGCUGGAGAACUGCAUUUCAAAACUGGAAGAGGUGCAGUUUUUGAAGGAAGACUGUGCUUCAGCUCCUUUAUGGUUUUGGGAAGUAUGAAUUAGGAGGUAGGUUCACUGUUAAAGGGGACGCAGGUGGUGCUGUGUGUUAAACCACAGAGCCUAGGACUUGCUGAUCAGAAGGUUGGCGGUUCGAAUCCCCGUGACAGGCUGAGCUCCCAUUGCUCGGUCCCUGCUCCUGCCAACCUAGCAGUUCGAAAGCAUGUCAAAGUGCAAGUAGAUAAAUAGGUACCGCUCUGGCGGGAAGGUAAAGGGCGUUUCCGUGCGCUGCUCUGGUUCGCUAGAAGCGGUUUAGUCAUGCUGGCCACAUGACCCGGAAGCUGUAUGCCAGCUCCCUCGGCCAAUAAAGGGAGAUGAGCGCCGCAACCCCAGAGUCGGCCACGAUUGGAUCUAAUGGUCAGGGGUCCCUUUACAUUUACUCACUGUUAAAUGUGAACUGAACAAUAUACCCCCCCCCCCAAAAAUCAUCUGCAGCAUCAAGGUGGCAGGUUAAGAGGUGCCAUAUGGGCAGCAGAAGUGACCUUAUGUGCCCCCCCCAAAAAUGUGGCAGCAACUAGUAAUACUAGAGGUUGCCAUGUCAUUAAAAAACCAAGAAUUUGUCUUACCAAAAUCCAUAAAAUCCAGGAUUAAUAUCUGUUGGGGAUAAUAAUAUAAUCUACUUUACUUUUCCUUACUAAUUGAAGUUGGAAGUGGACAUGAGUCCACAGAGAUUUGUGCCAUGACAAAUUUCUUAUUCUUCAAGGUGCCAAAAAACUCUUCAGUAUUUUUGGUGCUGAUGAGGAUAAAGUGUUUGAGCAGUAAUUUGGACAAAUACUGAUCAUGGCUUUCGUAAGAUGAAGCCUCUGUUUCUAAGGUACCAUAAUCUUGCUUCAUACUUGUUUAUUUUAAUUUAUUUAUUACAUAUAUAUAUAUAUCCCACCUUUUUCUCUCUCCAAUGAGCUCAAGGUGGUUUACAAGGUUCUCCUCCUUUCCAUUUUGUCCUCACAACAACCUUGUGGUGUAGGUUAGGCUAAGAAACAGUGACUAGACCAAGGUCACCAGUAUGUUUCAUGGCUGAGUGGAGACUCAAACCCUGGUCUCAGAGGUCAUAGUCCAACACUGGGUCUCUGGUUGCUUCACAAAUGUUCACGUAGUUCUGAGGUGUCUCUUUUUGCAAGGAAUACCUGCAAAAAGAUGCUCUUCUCGCUGAACUGAAUGGUUUCUACUCUUUCAAAUCCUGUUCUGCUGCUCAAUGAAGCUGCUGUACGCACAACUCCGAAGGCUUUGGAGGAAAAAGAACCUUGCAGACAGCCUAUCCCUAGAAGGACCUGGGAGGGGGCACGAGGGAACCACUGCGAAGGAGAAAGAGCUAGUGUGGGAUUUGUCCCCUUUUAGGAACAUAAGAAGGCAAAGGAUCAAGCAAACAAUGGGAGUGUUAUCCCAGCUGGUAGACCCUGGAAAAAAGCUACUGCUUGUAUCAGCCAACACUUAUCUUAACAGGCUCUUUGUGAUUGCAGCAGAUAUGUAAUAUCCCUCUUCAUAACAACUGGAACAUUUCCAGCUAUUCACAGAAAAGAGCUGGAAGAGCUGUGUGAAAAACAUCGUUAUUACAGGGUUUUCAGCUUUUCAACCCCCCCUCUUUUCCCCAAUCAUUUAAUUAUGCCUUUUACUCCUGCGUGUCUCUCUCUGAUGUCUCAUAGUCACUGUCCUAACCUAACCCCGUCAAUUUUCCCCACCCUCUCUCAUUACCAUUCUCUUUCAUACUCAUUUAAAAUCUUUUCUGCUGCACUCUGCUGCAGUUGCCAUCGAAAUAAACAGGAACUGCACCAAUUUGUGCUUGGCUUUCGCUGUGUUGGCCGUGCAUCCCUCCAUUCCUUUCAUUCAGGCUUUCCUUCCCCCUUCCUUUAAAAAGCUGCACCAUUGCAGCCCUUCUCUCUCCCUCUCUCUCUCUGUCUCACCAAUACGCUGUUUUGGAUCAGAGGAGGCUUUCUGUUCCUCAGAUCAAAGUAUCUUUUCCUGACUUCUGCCACCUUAUUAUUAUUCAUUCAUAUCGCACCAGAUGUGCAUGGCGUUUUACAAAGUAUGAGAAUGGUCUCUUCCCCAAGGGUCUUCUAAUCUAAAAUAGGAAGCAGGAAAGGCAAUACUGGAAAUGGAGGGAGAUGGGCGUCAGGGAUGUAGAUGGAAGAAGAGCAUGGCAUACAGCAAUAUUCUUCAAUGAUGGAUCCCCAACAAGUUGUCAGGUUACAGCUCCCGUCAUCCCUGACCAUUGGCUAAGUUUGCUAAGGAUGAUGGGAGCAGGAGUGUGGCGGCAAAUUCAGCAGUGCAGGAUCCCCCUCACAGCCACACCCCUUCUAAGAUUAUGUAGUAAUCUCAUCAUAAUACAAGGGGUGUGUGGGGUCUUCUUCUUUGGUGAUCACUCAUAGCCGAGUAAGAUUAUCUUCCAGGAACACGGUCUUAACAGUGAGUCCAUAAGUGACUGUGGAGGCCAAUUCUGGAUCCACACAUCCUCCCACAGUGGGAGUUGAUCAUGGUGAGGGUUUGCCAAACAUGCCUUCCUCUUAGCACAUUUCUCCCUUUCUGCCCUGAGUUUGAGCGUCUUCAGAGUCCAUGACACCUUUGGUAAAGGCUGUUCUCCAACUGGAGUGCUCACAGGCCAGUGUUUCCCAAUUGUCGGUGUUUAUACUACAUUUUUUUUAGAUUUGCCUUGAGAGAGUCUUUGAACCUAUUUUGUUGACCACUAGCAUUACGCUUUCCAUUUUUAAGUUUGGAAUAGAGUAGUUGCUUUGGAAGACAAUAUUCAGCCAUCUGAACAAUAUGACCAGUCCAAAGAAGUUGAUGUUGAAGACCCAGCACUUAGCUCUACACAUAUGGCUCCUUGAAGCUGCUGGUAUGCGGCAGUUCCCCUGCAUGCAAAGACAAGCUCCAGUGGACUGAAUGGAUAAGACCAAUAGUGGGCCCAACGGUCAAGAAGGCAGUUUCUGCAUGUGCUAUAGAGGGAAAUGAGGGGCAGAUGGGGUUCAUGAACCUGGGAAGGUAGUCCAUCUAGGAGAAGGAAAACUCUGAUAUUAAAUUCUGCUGUAUUGCAUGAGAGGAAAAGGUGAAGGAAUAAACCCUAUACAAAUCCGGAAUGAAGUCCCUAAGAUGGUUUCAUGACACCAUUGUACACCUUCUUCUGGCAAUUUCUGCAGCCAGCUGGUGCCAAACAUUUUGCUCUGCUUUCCUUUGGAUCACAUCAGCAAGGCUGAUAGGGUUGCAACCCAGGAUCUCCAUAUACAAUGCCCAGGCUUGCACCCUGGGGAGGUCACUUUGGUACUGCUAGCACUGCAGUUUCACUUCACCCCUGGAGGCGCACUCCAUUGUCUCUCAAGACAGAUGGAUGCCAACAACAUACAAUAACAAUAAUUAGGGAUGUAUUGCAACAUUCAAUGCAGAUCUCCAUGUUUUGCCUUUCAGCUGGAUCUUCUGCACAGGCACCUGGGAAAUGAUUUGGAGUGCUCCAAUAUAAUUUUUCAGAGUGAUUUAAGUUGUAUUCUUUGUGAAGUUCCGUUGUGUGUAAGAGAACUUGCACACCAUUCUUUUGAAGCUGAAGCACCUUCAGUGUUCUGAAAGUCUUUGUUUUGCAGCAUAUGGUGGCUAAAAAGAACCAUUUCAUGCCAACGGGAUGGCUCUUGGAUGCUGUAGACAGAGACCCUGCUGCAGAAAUAGUCAUGGAUCUUCAACCCCCUGAAACCCCAGAACGCUACACUCUUGGGUGGGAUUUGUAGUCCAACAACAUCUGGGGACCCAAGGUUGAAGAACAAUGGUUUGAAGAAAGUGGUUGGAGGUUCUUCUCCCUCUCACAUAAUGCUAAAACUCAUGUUGUUAAAAAUAGCAACAUAUUGGGAAAUGACCUUCAACAACUGAAGGAGAAACAAUAUAGUUGAGUGUGAAUGAUGCAGAACAUCUCUCAUUGUGGAAUGUAGAUCUGCAAGGGAAAUGUCAAUGUGACACAUUGUAGAAAACAGCGAAGGGUUGUGAAUAUGGUUGGGAACAACAACAGAGCCUCGACAAACAGUGACAAGGGCAGGAUUAGACAACAGAUGGGAUUAGAACAAGUCAUGAAUUGCUAACGUCAGCUGGGCGAGGGGAUCAAUUUGGUCAUGAUAGUUCUUCAGAUGAAUAAAGCCCUGGAAACAAAGCAACAGAAAAAGUCUGCUGGCAAAGGACAAAUAGAAUUAAAUAAUGGGUUGCAGCAGGGCAGAAGGGAAGAGACAUGGAAGGAAAGGAGCAAUGGAACUCUCAGCAGAAGAGAGAACAGUAAACCUGAAGGUAUAACUAGGCUCAAGCACAAGCAGAAGUGGAGGCUGGUCCUUGAGGAUGAAUGGGGCACUGCCCCGGCAACCUCUGUCUGCUCUCAGCCAGCCCCCACCAUCAUAUUUACAAGCAAUACGAGGGUGGCUCUGCCUGUCAGCUUCCUCCUCCUUAAAUCCAGUGUUGCCCAUUGUAGAACUCAGCAAAGGAGGCGGAGGGACAAAAUUAGAAUCAGGCCACCUUCACAUUGCAGAUUUAAAGCACUAUGAUGCCACUUUAUACAGAAACAGCUACACCCAAAGAAUUCUUGGAGCUGUAGUUCGUGAUGAGUCCUGAAAGUUGUUAGGAGACCCCCCAUUCCCCUCACAAUUUCCAGAGUUCCCUGUGAAGAGGGAUCAAAUGUUAAGCCACUCUGAAAAUUGUAGCUUUGUGGGAGGAGCGCUCAGCACCCCUAAGAAACUGCAGCCCCCAGAAUUCUUUGAGGGAAGCCACGACUGUUUAAACUGGUAUCACUGCAAGGUAUGAAUGUGGCCACAGCUGGUUCUGCCUGUCAUUGGUUCUGGCUCCACCUACAGGGUGGGUUCCCUACCAGCUCCAACAGAUGCUAGCUGUUAUGUACAGCAGAGGGAUACUGUAGAUAGUUAUGCAAAUGAAGGAUUGAAAGUGACGUUCAGUGAUUGGAUAGUUUGAAUGCAAAUGAAGGAUUGAAAGUGACCUUCAGUGAUUGGAUAGUUUUAGAAAGUUGUUACAGUAACAAGGUACUGGAGCUCUAUAUAAGCAGGCUGACUGAGCCCUUCAGUUCAGUUCAGUUCUGGCCUCAGAAUAAAGAAUAAAGAAUAAAGAAUAAAGAAGAGCUGUUUGAAGAAUUGCUGUGUCGUCUGAUAUGUUCGCCCACAACCUAACACUAGCCGCCACUGAAAACAAACACCUGAGAAGGGAAAGAAAGGAAACACCUGCUUGCAAAAGAAAGGAGAAACGGGGAUUGGUUUUUGAGAAACUGCAUGGACUUAUUUCCCCUCCUGGUUUGAAAACAAGGGAGUUGUUUUUGCCUCAUGCUUGCUCUGAAGCCAUUACAGAGGCUUCUUAAACCUGCGGCCUACUUCUCCAUAUUGCUCACCCGGCCACCAACAAGACCAUCACCACUGUCUCUGCCGAGCGUACAACUUGUGUGGUGCACUUGGAGGUGUCUGUGCCCUCUUUUUGUUCUUGCGCCUGUCUGAGGUAUAGAGGACAUCCAGUGAACUUUGUGCGCCACGUCUCACUCACAAAGCUUCUGAAUACUGGUUGCUAGGGAACAAGAGCUAGAAAGGUCUGUCGUCCUCAGGUUCUGCUUGUAGGCUUCUUGGAGGAAUGCUGGUGGUGACCACCAUGCGAACAGAACACUGGAAGAGAAAGGCCUUUGGUCUGAUCCAACAGGGUCUUUCUUGCAUUCACAAAACCUGUGAAUUGCUAUUCUUGACUCCGACUCUUCCUCCAUCUCUUUCUCUCUCACACACACAAACUUUCCCUGUGGGGUAUGUGAAGUAGCUUAGACUCAAAGAUUAUGGCUCACUAAAUGCCACCCAGGGAUUUUCAUGGCUGAGCAGGAAUACAAAACCAGAGCUCUUCGAUCUAAGUCAGGGGUCAGCAACCUUUUUCACCGUCCCUCAGAGCAUGUGGUGGGCUGGACUAUAUAUUUUUGGGGGUGGGGGAGAGGAAUGAACGAAUUCCUAUGCCCCACAAAUAACCCAGAGAUGCAUUUUAAAUAAAAGGACACAUUCUACUCAUGUAAGAACAUGCUGAUUCCCAGACCGUCCGUGGGCCAGAUUUAGAACGCGAUUGGGCUGCAUCCGGCCCCUGGGCCUUAGGUUGCCUACCCCUGAUCUAAGUUCAAUAUCACAUUACACUAUUUUCACAAGGGGACCCCUAAGUAUGUGCACCAAAGAGGACUCAGGCACAGAAUACACACAGUAACAAGGGUGAUGGUGCCUCUGAGCAUGUGCAGGGUGCCUUUCGUUUCCCAUUCAUUCCCCUACACAGGGGCAUCAGGAAGUGAAGUUUUCAAGUAAAAUAGCAUUGCACUCAGCCUCUGCACUGAUUUUUUUUAAAAAACAACCAUUGUUUCAGCAGCUAAUUGUUCCAUCUGGAAAAAGUUAUUUUUAAUGCCAUCAAAAAUACAAGCAAACAGAAUAAUACGUAUUGCAAGAAUCGAGUCCCUGUCAGUCAGCAGAUAGCCUGCCUAUCUCGUACUUCUGGCCAGCCAAAUAUAAAUGAAAGAUAAACCCUGAUCUUUCGGCAGCAGCUGUAUUUCAGUAUGGGGUGAAAGGCACCAGUGAGUGGCAUUCAGGGUUAACCUGGUCAGCACUAGAAAACAGAAGUCUGUUUGUGUUUCAUUUGUUUUCACAUGCCCAAGAGGAACAGAUAAGCAAUGGCACCAUUGUCUGCAAUAUGUGUGUGCCCAUCCAGUUGAAAACACAGGAUGGCAUGGUGAAAAAACAAUUAACCCCUGAUUAGAUAAUAAUCCUGGAAGUGCUACACAAGUUAGCCCUCCUCUGGCAUCCCAUCAGCAUGUUAAAUGAACACACAAGGAGCAGGCAGCUGUGAGGAUAAGUAUGGUAGCACCAUCCUCCAAUGCAAUGGUAUUCCCAUCAACUUCCCUGAGCUGGAGGGCAACUUUGCAAAGCAAGGAGUCUCCCGUGCUCAUGGAACCUUCCAGCUCAUUUUAGAACCCUGAUUUUUCAGGAUUCUAAAAUGUGCAAGGAGCCUCCGUGAAUACAGCUAUUGGGUUGUUGUUUUUAUUUUUAUUAUGUAUUUUGUGGUUUUAGAUCUUGAUUUUAUUCUGUGAACAGCUCUGAGACCCCCGGGUAUAGGGCAGUAUAAUAAUAAUAAUAAUAAUAAUAGAGACUCACUUUAACAGGCACUCCCCAACUCACAGACAGUAAUAUGAAUUGUGGGGCAGAACUUGCAUGCUCAAUCCAGGUCCCGCCUUAAUCUGUUUCCUGAACAGGCUCACAUAAUUUCUGAAAAUGCUACAGUCUGAAAGCAAUGAAAGACAAAGGCUUAGAAUAUACAGCGAUGGUUAAGAAAUAUACCUUUGAGAACUCAUGGUGAUUAUUACCCCUUUUCAGUUAAAUAUAAAGUUGAACAGCAUCCUGUAAUUACUGGAGGUGCCAAUGGUUUCUCACUAGUCCAAAAUAUAUAUUUGCCCAAAUCCAUCAGCUCAGCAUCUUUCUCUCACUUCAGAAGCAACUUGGGUACCUGCGUGCCAUUUAUGAAUUAGGAGCAGAAAAUCACCCACUUUGUCUUCCAGCAAAAUUCUAAUUUAGGCAAUUAUUAUUUGUUGUUGCUUUUGUUGUUAUUAAUCCAAAUUAAUUGGAACAGAUGGAAUUUAGCAGCAUUCGCUCCAUCUCCAGAGUCAAAAAUUGCUACAUGUAAGUUGCUGAAAGGUUCAUAAGUCUCAUGGGUAGACAAAGAUCUGUCUGGUUUUAUUAUAGGUGUGAUCAGUCAGUGCGCUGUUUCUCAGAUAUCAGUGGAGUUUUGUUGGUGCCUGAGGGUUUCCAGAUAUGGAAGAAGAGAGGAGCGAUGAACAUACAGGCCAAGAAAUAAAUAAGAUGGAAGAGGCCAGAACAGAUGAAAAAAAAGAUGUUAAUGUUUUCCCUCACUUUUAAAACUGACUUUACUGCUUGCAGAUUUGCCAGAGCAUUUCUGUGGGAAUACGCACCUACACAGACUGCAAGCCAAGGCUAUUUUCCUUAAAAACUAUGGCUGAUGGGCCUAAUUCCUUUCCCCCCCCCAGCCCCCUACCCACACCCCUUGGUAAAACAGGGAGUUCCCAAGAGGGGAACUUUUUUUGUUGUUGUUUAGUCAUUUAGUCAUGUCCGACUCUUUGUGACCCCAUGGACCAGAGCACGCCAGGCACUCCUGUCUUUCACUGCCUCCCGCAGUUUGGUCAAACUCAUGUUGGUAGCUUCGAGAACACUGCCCAACCAUCUUGUCCUCUGUCGUUCCCUUCUCCUUGUGCCCUCAAUCUUUCCCAACAUCAGGGUCUUUUCCAGGGAGUCUUAUCUUCUCAUGAGGUGGCCAAAGUAUUGGAGCCUCAGCUUCAGGAUCUGUCCUUCCAGUGAGCACUCAGGGCAGAUUUCCUUAAGAAUGGAGAGGUUUGAUCUCCUUGCAGUCCAUGGGACUCUCAAGAGUCUCCUCCAGCACCAUAAUUCAAAAGCAUCAAUUCUUUGGCGAUCAGCCUUCUUUAUGGUCCAGCUCUCACUUCCAUACAUCACUACUACUUCCCAAAGCCCUCCCUUCCUUAUCUACCACUGAGCAACUUCUGCAGGGGUAGCACAAGCCAUGGAGGAAAGAAGCCCAUGCAGAGAGGAGGACCCACUGAGAGCAUCUUGCCCCAAACCUGGAAUUGGCAUGGGCUAUGACAGUAACCCUGAUGCGGGGUUUGUUAUGUAUACAGUGGUACCUCGGGUUAUAUACGCUUCGGGUUACAGACCCUACUAACCCAGAAAUAUUACCUCGGGUUAAGAACUUUGCUUCAGAAUGAGAACAGAAAUCGUGCAACAACUGUGCAGCAGCAGCAGGAGGCCCCAUUAGCUAAAGUGGUACCUCAGGUUAAGAACAGUUUCAGGUUAAGAACGGACCUCCGGAACGAAUUAAGUACUUAACCCGAGGUACCACCGUACAGUGGUGCCCCGCAAGACGAAUGCCUCGCAAGAUGGAAGACUCGCUAGACGAAAGGGUUUUCCGUUUUUUGAGCUGCUUCGCAAGACGAAUUUCCCUAUGGGCUUGCUUCGCAAGACGAAAAACGAAAACGUCUUGCAAGUUUGUUUCCUUUUUCUUAACACCGUUAAUACAGUUGCGACUUGACUUCGAGGAGCAACUCAUAGAACGCGGUGUGGUAGCCUUUUUUGAGGUUUUUGAAGACUUUGGUGAUUUUUGAAGCUUUUCCAAAACUUCUUUUAAACUUUUAAAACUUUUUUUUGGGGGGGUUGGAUUUUGGGUUGGGGUGUUUGGAAUUCAAGGACUUGGUGUUGGGGAGGGGUUUGCAAGAAUUUGGAAGCUUGUGGUUUUUUUCUGCAUUUUUAUGAUUUUCUGUGACCAUUGGGCCACUCUGCUGUUUUUUUUAAAAAAAUUCUGGAUUUGAAUUUCUGUGUGGUGGGCGGCUGGGGGAACAGUUGGGGAGGGGGUUCUUCAGCAAGAAGCAAAGAGUGGAAGAGGAACCUUCUUCGAAUUGUCCCCCAGAGUCUUAGAAAAUGUACUGUACACUUUGUUGUUUUUUAAAUGUUUUUCUGUCAUGUUUAGAAACUUAAUUUAUUGUUCCUUCAGUUUUUGAAAUGCUCUUUACAGUAUGUGUGACUUUAAAGAGCACUUAAUAAACUCUUGUUGUACCAAAUUUGGCUUUGUUUGGACUUUUUUUGACCAUAGGAACGCAUUAAUUGAAUUUCAAUGCAUUCCUAUGGGAUUUCGUGCUUCGCAAGACGAAAAAUUCGCUAGACGAAAAAACUCGCGGAACGAAUUAAUUUCGUCUUGCGAGGCACCACUGUAAUUGGUUUAAUUCACACUGAAAUGUGAAUGCCUGUGUGUAUUGCAGAAAGGGUUUAGCUGGAAGAUUCAAUUGAAGCCAAAUGAAAGCAAAAAGGGCUCUCUGAGCUGCCUUGAUGGGUUGAUAAUUAACUGUUAUUGUUCUCUGGUAGCUCUGAUGUGGCUUUUAACCUUAGCUCACAUGAGAGGUAUUGAAUUGCAAAUUCACCACCUUGAAAGGGAGGUGGCUGAAGGUCUUUGUUCCCAGGCUCUGUGAGAGUAAGGAUGUAAAUGAAGAUCUCCAGGUAAACAGCCUAAGUUAGGAUGCAGGCUCGAAUGCAGGCUGUCGGAAGAGAACCACCUCUGCUUUUAGGUCUGUUGGAAUUAUUAAGAAGAAGAAGAAGAAGAAGAAGAAGAAGAAGAAGAAGAAGAAGAGUUUGGAUUUGAUAUCCCGCCUUUCACUCCCCUUCAGGAGUCUCAAAGCGGCUAACAUUCUCCUUUCCCUUCCUCCCCCACAACAAACACUCUGUGAGGUGAGUGGGGCUGAGAGACUUCAGAGAAGUGUGACUAGCCCAAGGUCACCCAACAGCUGCAUGUGGAGGAGCGGAGACGUGAACCCGGUUCCCCAGAUUACGAGACUCUUAACCACUACACCACACUGGCUCUCUCAUUAAGAUGCUGAGCCUAUGCCUUGAGCUGCCAUAUGUCUUAUGGAACUGUUUGGAUGUAUUGUUUGAUGUUUCCGUUCUGUUUUGAAGAAAGUUCUGUAAGUAAAGUUUUGAAAUAAACUCACGGGCCUUAACAAUGUUUUAUUUCCAAAAGGGCUCAGUUUUUAUGCCUCCAGUCGCUUCAAACUGUGCAAUACUGCAAACUGUGCAAAAUCUGCAAUAGGGUACGCCAUGUGAAUUAAGCAACACACCUUUCUAAACUAAAACAGUGCCUGGACCCGAUGAAUGGGAUACAAAGAGAGCUCUUCUUACUGACAGGCCAAACUCAUUGACAGUCGUGUGAGCAAUGCUAGUUCGUUGAAACAAAUGAAAACUGUGCCUUGGUAUAUGGAUGCAGAAAGUGAGAGCUAGCCUGUUGCUGGCAGGAAUUCCAGUACAGCAUGUGAAGUGCAUUUUCCCCACUUAUUAACACAGAAUGGCCUCUUUAUAGUAUGCAGACCUUUUAAAACAGUCUUUAAAUAACGGCAUUUUUAAAGCUCUUGGCAACAUAGAGAUGCUGUGAAAACACUAAGUACCCAAACAGAAUAAUCUUAAGAGGGAAAACUUAUGGUGGCAAAGCAGCCAGGAACGAAUAGCUUACCAGAAAUUUCAGUUUUAUUGGCAAUACGUUGAAAUGCCAUAAAAUUGUGCUGAAUCAGCCCCCACAGAAGAGUAACUGAGGCCACUAUAUCAUAUUGGCCCCUCCAUCCAGUCAUGGCUGUGCUUGCUGAAUAAUAACAUAAGACCCAUGAGAUUUACAAACCUUUCAGCAAGUUACAUGUAACAGCAGUGGUGGGCUUGGGUACUAUGGAGCCUUGUAGAGGUUAAAUUUGGCACCCCCCACCCAGUCUUUGUGAUUCCUUCCCAAAGUCGGCUAAGGAGUUUCCAGAGAAUGUAGACAAUGCUCACCCCAAACUUUUGCAUUCCUAUAUAUUCUCCCAUUUCCGCCCCUUCCGCAACACACAACCCAAGCACAGAUUUUUAGGUUGUAUUCAAUCUUAGGCUAAUUUUCUGUAAUUGGAAGGAUUUCUCCUUGCAUAAUGACACUCCCCCCCCCUUGUUCCCAGCUCUUAAAUAUCUUCUGCGGUUUCCUCCAACCUUUUGGAACAGAUUUGGUGGUAGUCAUGCAUGAGGAUUGGGACGCGGGUGGCGCUGUGGGUUAAACCACUGAGUCUAGGACUUGCCGAUCAGAAGGUCGGCGGUUUGAAUCCCCGCGACGGGGUGAGCUCCCGUUGCUCGGUCCCUGCUCCUGCCAACCUAGCAGUUCGAAAGCACGUCAAAGUGCAAGUAGAUAAAUAGGUACCGCUCCGGUGGGAAGGUAAAUGGCGUUUCCGUGCGCUGCUCUGGUCCGCCAGAAACAGCUUAGUCAUGCUGGCCACAUGACCUGGAAGCUGUACGCCGGCUCCCUCGGCCAAUAAAGCGAGAUGAGCACCACAACCCCAGAGUCAUCCACGACUGGACCUAAUGGUCAGGGGUCCCUUUACCUUUACAUGCAUGAGGAGCACUACUGGCAAUCCUUUUGCACAUUGAAUGCCACCAAUAAUCUUACGUAACUGUAGCACAAUCUUUUCUGGUGUCCACAAACUCUAGUGAUAUUGUCUUACCUAGGGACAGAGAAAUGAGUUGUGUUCUUGCUGAGAGCACAGAAUCCCACCUCUCCCGUUAUAGUAACCCCUGAAUUUUCUUUUCCACCGCCAUUUUCUUCAAAGCAGUGUUGCAUCUGACAACAAUCCCUCCCAACCCAGUCUCUAGGACUAGCUCAAGGGUGCCACUUAUUUCCACUUCUGAAACGAAGAGUUCACAGGGAAGGGAGGGAUCACGUGGGAAGCAUGUACUAACCACAAGGCUCGUAGGCUUGUUUGGGAAUUUUUCACAUGGUUUGCCACUCCUGUUUUUAUAUAUUACAGGAGUACAGUGGUACCUCGGGUUACAUACGCUUCAAGUUACAUACGCUUUAGGUUACAGACUUCACUAACCCAGAAAUAGUACCUUGGGUUAAGAACUUUGCUUCAGGAUGAGAACAGAAAUUGUGCUCUGGCGGUGUGGCAGCAGCGGGAGGCCCCAUUGGCUAAAGUGGUGUUUCAGGUUAAGAACAGUUUCAGGUUAAGUACGGACCUCCGGAACGAAUUAAGUACUUAACCUGAGGUACCACUGUAGUAUGGGGUGAAUCAUCUGGAGGCUCUAUCCAUACUACCAAGAUGCCAUACUAAUCCUUUUCCCAGCUGAUGUCGAUUGCUGGUCAUAGUUUAGUGGUAGAACUCAGUGGCAGAGCACAAACUCUGCAUGCAAAAGGUCCCAGGCUUAAGCCUCAGCAUCUCCACAUAGGUCUCGAAAAGACUCUUGUCCAUAAACCCUGGGCAGUCAGUGUCAAUAGUACUAAACUAGAUAGACCAAUAGUCUGACUCAGUUCAAGGCAACUUCCUAUGCUUCUGAAUGUUUUGAGUGUUACAGGCUCAGAAUCAAUAAGAGCAUAAGUCCAUUGAACUUGCGUGACAUAAUUGUUUUGAAUUUGGAAAAUAAUUAUGUAGCUCACCCCAACUGGAAUUUUGCCCAGAACCAAGAUAAAGUGAAUAACCUUUCAGAAUUAUAAAUUAUCUCAUGCUUCAAUGGUAUUAAAAUGGAACGAGAUGCCAAAACACCCAAAAUGUGUGUGUGUGUGUGUGUGUGUGUGUGUGUGUGUGUGUUAGUUAAUGACUAAGAAAACCGGUCUUUGGUCUCUUUAGUGAUCAGAAGCGAUUUUUUUUAUUGAAUUCAAAAGAGCUAUUAGAGUCUAUUCUCAUAGGAAACAGCUGCAAUCUCUCCAUAUUUUUCCAUAGCAACUGCCCAGAGCUGACUGCAUAGCUGUUCCAAGUCUAUUAAGAGAAUGAAUUUUCAGAUAUCAAGAAACCUGCUUGUAUCCGCUUUGCAUUUGAUGAGCCUACCAGAUUAUGCUGGGCCUUGUAAACCACCCAGGAAAAAAUUAAAGUUGUGGAUAUACCUGGAACCUAUCACUGGAAUCUGUAUCACAAGCACUUGAUUUUGAACUAGCCAAGGAAAUAAAUCUUCAAAAGGAUAAAAUUCAGUAAAAAUCUUAACAUUUAGCAUAUCUGGAUCUGAAAGCUGAUCAUUUCAGCCUUGGAAUUCUAAGAUCAUUUGAACAGUGGUCCACAGAGGUGACAUCAGGACUGAGUUGUGGGGAAGACGUCUACCCAUUGCCAGCAUAAUUAGUAGGAAGCUGUCCCGCCCCCGCCCCGCCCCCACCCCCCAUGCAGCAGGGCUCAUUUACCAUAUUGUGAAGAGAUACACAUUACCAUCUAAAGAGCUUCCUAUUCCAUAAUAUCAAUGUUGAAUGUCUAAAAUUUCCUGACUGUACCAUUGAUGGCCAACAUUGCUGGAAAGUUCCAGGAGAUGGAUUUUUGGACCGUACAAAAUGAUACGAGCCAUAAACAAAAAUAAUAAUUAAACUGAUAAGAACAGAGGAAUCUCUAUAUUAGAGGAUAAAGGUAAAGGGACCCCUGACCAUUAGGUCCAGUCGUGGCCGACUCUGGGGCUCAUCUUGCUUUAUUGGCCAAGGGAGCCGGCGUACAGCUUCUGGGUCAUGUGGCCAGCAUGACUAAGCCGCUUCUGGCAAACCAGAGCAGCGCACGGAAACGCUGUUUACCUUCCCGCCAGAGCGGUACCUAUUUAUCUACUUGCACUUUGAUGUGCUUUCAAACUGCUAGGUUGGUAGGAGCAGGGACUGAGCAACGGGAGCUCACCCCGCUGCGGGGAUUCGAACCGCCGACCUUCUGAUCGGCAAGUCCUAGGCUCUGUGGUUUAACCCACAGCACCACCCGUGUCCCUAUAUUAGAGGAUACUUGAUUCCAAAUCUAUGUACAGGCAGUAAAGCAGCAUACAUCUUGGGAAGUGCAAGUGCAUGCAAAAAAUGGUUUUAGUGGGCAACAGUAGAAAAUAGCACCUGAUAUGGUGUACAAGUCCUUCCUAGGGUUGAGGUUUGGAAGAGAAGGUCAGUCUGGUUUGCAAAUGUCCAAAAAGGGAGUUUGGGGGCAUGUCUGGGUUUGCUUUUUGUGUGGCUACACUAAUCUUCUUCCACCAUAUGGGUGCUUGGCAGCAAGAGUGUUUCUCGAGGCUAGGGGGUACUCUGAGGUGGCUCCUGGGAAGUCCAGUCUUGCCUGAGUCACAGUGGCGUAAGGGAUGUGCUAUGGUGCACAUAAACUGGACUGGUUUAUGCUUGGCGGCAUUCCGUGAAUCUUCAAAUUCAUUCAAACUUUCAAAUCAAAUAUGGAGGCCAGUGUUUCUAUCAAGAACUACUUGUCACUGGGUUAGGACCGGUUUGAAUGGUUUAAAUCACCCAAAGCAGGAAAUAUUCAGCCUACUGUAAAUGUAUUUUGUCUUACCAAAAUGUGCCUUGAGUAUGGAGUGUAUGUUUGAUCUUCUGCGUGUUUUGAUACUUGCAUUAAAUAAAUUUAAUUUUUAAAAUGAUACUAAUAAUUGGGCUCUUUGGUUCUAUACUUUGUUCAGAGGACAGGAGUUAGAAAGCAUCUGCCUACCAUUAGAUAAAAGAGGAAGGAUGCUUAGUUCAUAUUGCAUUGGGAAUCUAUGUGGCAGUCUUCUCUUUCUUUGCUUACAGAACAACGUAUUGUUCCUUGAUCUAGAGUCAUCAUUACCCAAAGAGUCCAGCUAUUGCACAUCCCUGGGUGAUCCUCCGGUUGACCCCUAUAUGGUGCAAGCAGAAUGACAAACAAUGAAUGUGGCAGACUUGGAAAAUCAUUUGAUUGCCAAAUACUGCACUAAUUGCACAAUAUCUGCUCAGAUGUAAGUCCCACUGAGGACCUUUCACACGGGUAUGAUUAGCUCCCUGUAGUUUCUUUAAUAAGCCGCUUAUGUUCUUCCAGAUAUCUCUGUGUUUUCCUUAAGCUUUGAUAGUAUGUUUCUUUCAGAAGCAGAUCUAUUCUUUCCCUUGAAAGUUUUGUCGCUUUCCUGGUGAUUGACUGCGGUUUAGCAUUAGGGCGUUUUUCACACCUGGCCUUUCAAGUCGUUCUUGUCAUGCCGUUGUUCAAGCUAUAUUAGCCAGCAUGCUCAUUUGAAUUACAAAUGUAACUUUUCCUGCUUUCUGUUCUGCAUCAACAACAAUCAGAUGUUCACACAAAUGAACACACUUUCAAAGGCUUGAAAGGCGUUUAAGUCUCUUGUAUGAAAAUGCUCUUCAUCUUGAGAUGGGGAACUCUUAUCGAGUGUUGCCGGUCUAGACUCUCUUUCCUGCCUAUAGUGUUACAAAAGUUGCAUGCCACCCCAACUUCUGCAGAGCGGUGCAUGUGAUUCCAGGGGGUUCCAGGCCUUCACCCAAGGUCAAGACACAGCAGAGACUGCAGUGCCUCUGAAAUAUACAGUGGUACCUCGGGUUACAUACGCUUCAGGUUACAUACUCUGCUAACCCAGAAAUAGUGCUUCAGGUUGAGAACAGAAAUUGUGCUCCAGCGGCAUGGCGCGGUGGCAGCGGGAGGCCCCAUUAGCUAAAGUGGUGCUUCAGGUUAAGAACAGUUUCAGGUUAAGUACAGACCUCGGGAACGAAUUAAGUACUUAACCCGAGGUACCACUGUAGUUUAUUAACACACUUAGGAAUAGGCAAAGUGAAUUUACAGCAUUCUCAGCUCAGCAGCAGCUUGUUCUUCAUAGCAGCCCAGCAUUGCAGACAGAGACAUUCUUCUUCUUUUUUUAAUUAAAGAUUUUCUUGAUUUACAAAAGUGUGUGCAAUGUCUCUCUCUCGUAUUUUUUUCCUCCAUGUAACAUUUUUACAAAUCAGUUUCAUUUGUUGAGACGUGAUAGUGUUGAGGAAGUGAUAGUGACUUCCUGUGGUUAGGCUAAUCGUUUCCUGGUCCCAGGAAACUGGUCUCACCUAUAUUUUAGCACUUUGCUAAGUCCAACAUCUGGCUCCAAGCAUUUAUUAAAUUUACAAACUUUGGGGAAUCUGCCCACCACCUCCAGAAACCUACACCACUUUAUUCAGGAAGACUAUGGCUGUGAUACAUUAUAAACAUAGGAAGUUAAAGAAACAACAUCCCCAGAUCCUAAUCUGGAUCCUUGCAAAUGGAGAAGAUGCUGUUGAUAAUAAUCACCGCCACCACCAUCACAACUAGUUCUUAAGGAGCACUUACCCCACCUCAUGUUCUUACCUAAAAUAUUAGUUAAAUGUGCUUUGAAUUAGUAUACGCUGUAUAUUGUUGCAUGCUACUCCAGUCUCUGAGCAGGGCAAGAUUCCAGGGGUUCCAAGUGAUUUGGGAUGAGGCACAGUGCAGACUGUGGUGUCUUAAUGAUAUAUACACAUGAUAUAUACAAUAUAUACCUGAGCCUGCGAUGGAGGGAUUCCAUCAUCUACACCCCAGGUGAGUCUUGCUUCUUCCUAGGCCACAGCUUUUGAUUCCAGCAGAAAUCCAACGUGGCUCUCUCUCUUUGUCACUCCAGCCUUCUGAUUCUGCAUCCAGCUUUUAUCUCAUAUAACUCCAGCCUCCACUCUGGCCUUUUGACUUUCUAACUGACAGGUCAGUGGUUGGACCCCUUUGCCCUCUAGCACAGAUCCAAUCCCUUGGUUACCUUAACAACCUAUAUUUAAUAUGCCAGCUAUUCCAGCAAUGGUGGAUCCAGGAAUUAGAGGGGGCGGGGCUCAUGCAUACAGCCUACCCCCCACAAACUCAUAACAAUAUAGAGCAUUUGGAAACGUCUAAGGCUCACUUAAGACUGCCACCCGCUCUGUAUGCAGCCCAAAGAUAGAUUGGAUGACCCAGUAUUGUCUGACUCUUCUUUCAAAAAUCUCUGUAAUUCUAUUUCAAUAAAGGUUUGAAAAAAAAGCUUACAUUUCAUAACUCCAUCUGAAAUUCAGGGGAUAAAAACGCUUACAAGCAAUUUACAAGAAAGCAGCAGCUACUCUUUUAGUGACCCAGCCGCAAAGUAUUUUUCACGACUGGAGGAUUGUGGAGGUAAAUUCAUCCUGGGGUAAGAGUAAAAUUAUUCCAGUCACAGCAUGGAAUACCCAGUCAAAGCCUCAAUAAAGUGUGUACCAAAUAGUGUGUUCACAACAGUGAACAACACUCUCACAAUUAUAAGAUUUCAGUGUGCAUUAGCUGGUGUUUGGUGUCAUAAACAACACCUGUGGUAGCAUCUGUUUUUGUUUUCUGUAAACUUGCUUGGGUCACAUCUGUGCCAUGCUUAUGGUGACCUGGAAGACUUGCCAUUUUAAAUAUUUUAAUAUGUAUAGUUAAUUUCAAUUUAAUUUCACUCUGUUGGCAUUGCCUUAAUACUGUAAGUGUGAGGACCAGUGCAUCCGUUGGGCAGCUUAGAAUGGUGUCCAAGAUGCUCAGUCUUCAGAUGGCUUUUCUUCCUCUUCCUUAUCUUUGUGGAAUAGAUGGUUUCACAGGUUUUUAAUAGUAAUUGCAGACCCUCGCAUUCAACAGCUGCAGUGGCUCCCGAGAAGGAAGGAACCAGAGGACUCUGUGCAGCGCAAAUGGGACCUUCCUACAAACUGUGGUGGGAACUCAAAAGUUUGAGAAUUGCUUUGGAAAGAGUGACAGGCUGUUGACGGGAGCCCGAUGGCAAGUACGCGAUUCCCAGGUUACAGCAACUACACAAAUCCAAGUGCUGGUUAUGCCGUGUAAACAGUGGCAGACUUCAGGCUCUCAAAUUUCAGCAGUGCCAAGUGUGAUGCUAAAAUUUAGCUCCCCUGUGUUUCGUGCUCCAUUCUACAGCAUUGUUGUAACACUCCCUGCAGUGUGGUGCCCAGUGUGGCCAAAUUGCUUACACUACCCCAAAACCACCUCUGCUAUGAAGUCCUAAAUGGCUUGGACCAGGAUAUCUUAAGGAUCACCUUCUCCCAUACAAGCCUGACAGGGUGAUGAGUACUUUUGGAGAGUCCCUUCUCUUUCUCCCAAUAACAUCUGAUGUGUGUGCUGGUGGGAACUUGAUACAGCAUUUUCUCAGUGGCUAUGCCCAGACUUUGAAAUUCCUUUGCAAAGCACCUUUCUUGAUAGCCUUGGCUGACAUUCUUUUAUUUACUUAUUCCAGCUGCUCUUAUCUGAACUUUACAUUAUUUUACAUUAUUUUAUUGUGAUUUAUUCUGUUGUUGCUUAAUAUUUAUCACGCACCAGGUUUAUUGUUAGCUGCCUGGGGCACUUUUUCAUGAAAAAGUGGGAUAUAAGUGUAAUAAAUUCUCACUUUCUUUGGAGUGAUUGACACUGGCCAUCACAGUUUUUGAAAUACAAGUCGCACACCAAGUACCAUUCUUGAAGCAGAGACUUACAAAAUACAUACUGUCAUCGCAUAAUAUACAUGUAACAAAAGUAAUAAUAUUGCAAUAUUAUGUGCUGUGGCAGCGGCAUAGCUUCAUAAAUAUGAGAUUGGAUUUGGAAAAUAAGCUGGUGCCAACCAAAUACGUGGAAUGAUAAAUAGGCAAGGACCCCUACUUUCUUUAACUCAAAACAGGAACUGCUAAAGAAAGGGUAAGUGCUGCUUUGUUUUGCUUUGAAUGAUGAACACUUAAAUUACUCUGCAUUCAUCUUUUCAUUUUCAUUUAGUUAUUUUGCAGGGACUCACUGAAGAAAGGAAAUAAAAUGACAACUCUGAUUUUUUAAAAACAACAACAAAAACAACCAUGAGCCAAGACAUUAUGAAAAUACCUUGUGCAUAUUUACUCAAAAGUAACUCCCAUGUAUGCAAUGGGACUUACUCCCAAGCAAGCAUGCACAGUUCCCAGUCUAAAUCAUGACAUUGCAAACAAAAGAGUAACUUCCUUUUGCACAACAAUAUCUGACUUUUCCAGUUUGCAACAGACGCUUCUUCUUCGGAAGAGGUAAUAUAGAUUAACUCUGUUGACCUCCCAUAGAAGCCAAGAUUUUCAGAAACCUUUUGUUUACGUUGAAUAAGCCUCACGUUCCCCUGUGGGUUCAUUAACCGGCUUACCUCUAUGGGUAUAUAAAUGCCCACAGAUAGAGAUAAAUCGAUACAUUUCUGUCAUGUCUGGCAUGGUAUGUGCCAAGUGUGAAUAGCAAAUGUAUAAAGGGUAUUGACUGAGGAAAUGUAAUUGAUAAGGAGGGUUUUAAGACAUAUUUAUAUGUGUGUGAAGUUGGCUUAUACUGAGUCAGUCAGUUGACCCAUCUAGCCCAAGUGUAGGGAACUUCAAGACCGGUUCCCAAAUAACUGGCCCUCAUAACCAUACCCAGACCCACAUCUCUUGCUGGCUCUUCUUUGCAUUCAGAGUGUUUUCUUUUGCUGGAAAGUCUCCUUGAACUCUGUCCUACUUACCUAGAUGGAGCCUAGAGAGGCCGGUGUGUGUACAAACCAUCUUACCAUACAAAGGCUGCUCCGCCCAUUUUUGCCACUGGCCCCGCCCACCACUGGCACAUGGCCCUCAGAAGUUUGCCUAGAAAGCAAUGUGGCCCUUGGGCUAGAAAGGUUCUUCCCACCAGUGAACCAAAACACAGACAUCCUUUGACAUUCACGCAUCUCGGAAUUUUGCAAUGCGGUUUGCCAGCUAAGUAGCAUGUACCAAAAUGAAUAUUCAGAGGUAAAGUUAUGCACAUAAAUGCAUACGUCAGAGGAAACAACUUUGGGCAAAUACGCGUACAAACAUAUUUCUGUUAGGAGCAAUUCACACCCGAAUGCUGAUGAAUUUUUAUGAGGAGUGUUUCCAUUGCAAACGAAUACACAGAACUGAAUUUACAAGUGGAAGAAGGAGAAAAUGGGGGAAUCCAAAAUUAACAAAUUAACCAAUCCCACAUAAAAGGAGACCUGCUUGAUCAGACCAAGAACUUGUAUAAUAAAGGCUCAGGAAGCAGAUGAAGUAAAAUAACUUUGCCUGAGACCAAGGAGAGCUGUUGCCAGUCAGAAAUGUCCCCAAUUUGCAUUUUGUGUGUAUGCUUAAUUCUAAUCUUAUUUCAGUCGUAUUGUCUGUCCUUCUGCCCAUCCUUUUCUGUCUAUCUUGCAGAUGUCCUUUCGUUCUUUUUUAAAAAAGUAGCUUGGCGAUGUUCUGAUGUUAACAGGCUCCACGCUGUGCCUUUCUUCAGCUGCUAAUUUCUUCCCCAAAAGAUGCUCUGGAAUGCUCAAGAGCAAACCAGGCCAGAUUAUUUUCUGCUUCGUUGACAAUGCUCCUUUGUGCUGCACCUGUCACAUUUCUAUCUGUCACCCAGUAGUUAAAAAUCAACAGCAGCCAACCCAAAAUCGCAAUAUACAGGCACGGCCAGCUGAACAGACUUUCAGCUGAAUGAGAACAAUCCCCAGUCCCACCCGCCCCCCCUCCACCCACUUCAGUUCCUUUUAAUACUAAAUUAUGCCAUCCCUAGCCAGAUUAAGGCCACCCCAUUGUGCCUUAGGCUGAAAGCGGAGUCUAAAGAGCAACAGCAGGUGGAGGUGGAGUGCAAAAAUCGUUACUACUGAUGGCUGGCCACCUGUGCAGCUGGGCUGCUGGAGGAAUUUUAAAGAUGAAAGGAUUCUGGGAGGGAGGGAAGGAGAGAGAGAGAGAAAAAAAAUCUGGCUGUGAAAAUGUGCAAGACUUGGACAUGUUGAGGAUUGAUUCCCCCCUAGUGUGUGUGCGACAGUACAGUUAAGUGCUUCCUCUGAUGUCUUCCAUUAGCUUCGGGCUGCAAUCCUAAGCAUAUUUACUUGCAGACAAAUCCCACGGAACUCAAUGUGAUGUAUGUCUGAAGAAAUGUGGUCAGGAUCAGGCUAUUAAAGAAAUGGCAAUCAUGCAUCUUUGGGACCAAGCUGCACCGAACACAGCCGGACUUACUUCAGGCUGAACACGCAGAGGACUGAGCUGUCCUUCUUGCUUGUUUCAUUCAUUUAUUUAUAAAUCUCUGUGCAGAUUAUAAAACUUCACUCUGCCCUUCUGAUGCAUAUGCAUUAUUCGAGGCAAUUUACAUAGGUUCAAAUUGCAACCUCGCAAUAGAACGUCGACAUCAAUAAAGUAUUAUAGAUAAAGUCAUGAGAUUUUUUUUAAAAAAAAUCAAAUGUUAUCUACACAGUAAGGAUUUUUUAAAAAAAUAAUAAUUAUGGUAGGUGUUCUGAAGUUGGUUUCAGGACUUAUUCCCACUGGCCCCAUAUUAUUGACUGACUAAGCAAAACUUAAAUAAUAAAAAGACGGAGCCACACAUCUGAUCAGUCUGAGGAACUUUUGAAACUUGGACUUGCUGACAUUCUGCUGCAAUCGCUUCUCAGGAAAUAACCUGAAUGGCUGUUGGGGAUGCAAUUACUGCAAGCGAAAUACUUGUGACGAAAGGAAUGCCUUGGGGAUGUGUGACUUUGGGCGCAGGGCACUGGCAGCAAAAAUGCUCCCCAGCUGCCAGAGCACAAGCGGAUCGUCUCAUAGUGUAACAGAGGACUGAAGUGUGUCAUCUGUUUCUCCCUCCCUCCCUUCCUCCCUCCCUCCCUGUGUGUUUCUGCACCCUAACACACAGCUGCACAGAGAAGACAGCACAGCACUGACAUACUGUGUAAGAAGUCAGAAUUUAAACAAACAGCAUCUUGCUUGCUUUUUUGUAAAAAAAGUUUUUUAAUAACCACAUUUGUCAAAUUUUGGCAAUAGGACCCAGCCGUACAAUAGAGAUCUGAAUUUCCCACAGUUGCAGUUUUGUUGGCGCAAAGGUUCGGUGAUGCAGUGCGCAGCUGUUGCUCCUUGCAUUUUGCAAAUGGCAGCUUUCGUAACCGGCUAAUCGGUGCACCAGGAAGAAGGCUAAUCGAGUGGCAUCACUUUCUCUGAGCUUGUGCCCCCCCCUUCUUUUGCAUCAAAUGGUACAUAGUGGCAAAAUAAUAUUCCACAAGAUGUGCCUUUGAGAUACGUGACUUUCAACACGGGGGCACCGACAGUGUAAUGCUUUACAGCUGCCAGAACACAAACAGGACUUCUCACAGCGUAGCAGAGGGCUGGAGUGUGCCGUAUGUUCUGCGUGGCCAGGGCUGGCAGGGACCUUUCUGGGCAGCCAGCUUGGCAUCAGCUCUGAAUCAGAAGCAGAGUCAUAGCACUUGGUAACAGAGGGCAUCAUGUUAACACAUGCUGAUGAGCAACCUCCUUCUAUGUGGGCCUUUGGCAGACACGCAGACACACACACACACACACACACACACACACACACACACACACCAUGAAGAGCAGCAGAGGGAAAUCUGCAACUCCACUGGUGUGGGGGGUGAACAGAUGGAAUCAAUAUAGUUGCUGGGUGACUUGUGCAGAAUAGAUGCUCUAAUCCAAUAUAUCUCGCCCCUGACAAAACCCUGUUCCAGAAAAAGAAGAAGGCCCUGCUGGCACAAUUUGGUCUUCCUCUUGAUUCACUUGAUAACCAGUUAUGGAAACCACUAUUUACAACGAGAGGAGUAAUAGCUACACAAGGCAGCAUGUGCUCUCUGAGCCAAGGUCUCCCCCUAAGAGGCUAUGGCCAUAUGAAAUCUCCAUCCGUUAUGCGCUGACAAUUUGAUAAGUAGAAAGCUAAUGUGACUUUUAAUCUGUAUUCACUCUAUUGUUAUUUUAACUUUCGGAAGGUCUUAAAUUAUUGCUAUUACAAUUUCUUAUUGAUAACUUUAUUGCUUUAACUCUUUCGCAAACCACUUUGAGGGUUUUAUUUUUACAAUCAGGUGGUAUAUAAAUCUUAAGAAAUAAAUAAAUUUAUGAAAUAGAAAGCAAGGAUGCUCUUCCUUGUUUUAAUCUAUGUAACCCUGCCCACUGCUUGCCACACAAAAUGCACAUCUCAGGCCAACACCACUAACGCUUUAUAGUUUUUUAUCUUGAAAAACUUUACUGAUUUUUAUAAUAAAGGAAAGAUACAUUUUUUGUACACAAUAAUACAAAAAUGAUGCAGGUGUGGAUGGCAGGAAGGGAAUAAUAAUAAUAAUAAUAAUAAUAAUAAUAAUAAUAAUAAUAAUUUAUUUAUACCCCGCCCAUCUGGCUGGGUUUCCCCAGCCACUCCGGGUGGCUUCCAACAAAAGAUUAAAAAUACAUUAAAACAUCAGUCAUUAAAAACUUCCCGAAACAGGGCUGCCUUCAGAUGUCUUCUAAACGUCUGAUGGUGUAGAAAAGGAAAAGGGGGAGAACAGUAAAAUAAAUAAAUAGGUGCAAUGCAUCUUUUGUAAUGGAAGUCCAAAUUAAGAUAGAAAGUUUAUGUCUUAGGUUAUUAGCAACAUACCUACCCUACAGAACACAUACCCAGACCACAUCAGACUGAACCAGCAGAGGCCGAUGGACUUUUGCUGCUGGCACCACUAACACUUAUGAGGCAUCACCCCAAUCGUGCAUCAGAUACACAUGCCCAACUCCACUUCUCUUCUCACUGCUACCAUCUUCUCCUUGGGCUGGAAGAACAUCAGUGGGAAAAAGAACUUUGAAUCCUAGCAUGGCACUUUCAUAAUCCUAAUAGCCUAACACAGGAAGAAACUAAUGGGAUUAAAAAGAACAUCAUUGUCAGUUCAUGCUUUUCAGCCCAUGGGUAAGUACAGAAGUCAACAGAGGUGGAGAUGUCUCACAUUGACAUAGUAUCUAGUUUAGGACUCUGCCUGGAAUUUUCAAGGUGACCUGCUGAAUCCCUACUGGUUCAUGCACAUUUGUGUCAUCCCAUAGAAUUCUGGCAUAUGGGUAGUGCUAAUCCAGUCCUAAAUUUUCCAUGAACAGAGAUAGAAUCAUGUUGACCUGUUCUUGCCAUACAUGACAUCUCCCUAGGGGUCACAUGCAGAAGUUGUCAGCAUGGCCAUCAUAGGACCUUAUCAUGACUGUGACAGGCCUGUGACACAAACUCCUCUGCAGCCUCUCCAGUCUUCAGGAGCCAGGAAAGAAUAACCUCUCUAUUCUUAAUCUGACGGAGUCCUGAAAAAGCAAGGCAGGAAGGCCCAGCACUGUAAAUAAGGGCUCUUGGAAAUAAGAGGAAACAAGUGGAACUUGCAGCACAGUAUUGCAGCAUGGAGUGCUCUUGUUAGUUAGUUAUGCCUCCUUCACCAUCACCCAUCAUUUUCCAUUACAACCACCACACAUGCUCAGCCAUCACUGGAUUCCCCACCUCAAGGUAUUUCUUCUGCUAAAUAUAUUCUGGCACUGCCGCUUAACCUGAGGAUUCCUCAAAGCCAGUGUGGUGUAGUGGUUAAGAGCGGUAGACUCGUAAUCUGGUGAACCGUGUUCGUGUCUCUGCUCCUCCACAUGCAGCUGCUGGGUGACCUUGGGCUAGUCACACUUCUUUGAAGUCUCUCAGCCCCACUCACCUCACAGAGUGUUUGUUGUGGGAGAGGAAGGGAAAAGGAGAAUGUUAGCCACUUUGAGACUCCUUCGGGUAGUGAUAAAGCAGGAUAUCAAAUCCAAACUCCUCCUCCUCCUCCUCCUCCUCUUCUUCUCCUCCUCCUCCUCCUUCCCCUUGUGUGGUGUUAUUUUUUGCUAAUAAGGAGCAGCACUCAAAGUCCAAGCCCUGGAUAUGUAUGAGAUGUAGCUGAUUGAGAUAGCUAUGCUCAUCUCAAACAUAUUUCAAGGUCGCAGGAGCAGAUUAGAGAUCUUCACCCCACUUUGCCCCAGUUGAACCUAGUGCUGUUUCAGAAACCACCAGUUUCAGCAAACAGAUGUGGUCAGCAUAUAAAAUGUAGUUCUGCUCUUUCUUGGGGAACUUCCCAGCUGAAAAGCUAAGUUGGCAUCAGUUCUGCUGGACCCCAAGCACAGCUGCUUCUGGUUGCCGUCACUAAAAACAGUAGAGAUGGGAAGCCUGUAACAGCUUUGCAAGGACUGCAAAUGAGCUGUUUUUCCCAAAAUAGCAACACUGCCGUCCAUGUGGCAUCAGUCCAAUUUACCGUACUGAAAUCAGCUUGUAUGGAGGAGAAAGCAAACAUUUCUGCUGGCAAAUAAGUUAGUUUCAUUUUUAAAAAAGGAACAAGCCACCCUAACAUGUAACAAACAUAUGGAGAACUACAAGACAUGCCCCCCUGCUGCCUGGAACCCAGGACCACUUGGUCUAAAGACCUACUGUUUCAUCCAAGAUGCAUAAGAGUUGGCCGCGGCUGCUCAGGAGUAAGGAAAAGGUACACAGCUAUUGAGAGGCAGUGCAAGCAACACUAUGUGUUGAGAAAAGCAAUCCAAGCUAACAGGAAAUACAGGACUUCCAGGAUGACUAUGUUAAACCACCAAUGUUCUCUCCCACCCACCCUGCUUGGGAUUGGAGCCUAACUGAGCUGCUGGAUUCUAGAUUCCAAAGUUUUCAGGUCAGGAGAAACCAAACUUACCUGCAACAGAACCCUGACUCUGUAGCAGGAACGGGGUACCAGUGGCCCUCCAGCUGUUGCUCAACCACAAUAUUCAUCAAUCUUAACCACUGGCCAUUCAGGAAGGAGAUCAUGCAAGUUGGAGUGCAACAACAUUGGGGACAAGGGCCUGAUCCUAUGCAUGUUUACUCAGGAAAGUCCACUGAAUUCAGAUUCCCAAGUAAAUGGGCACAAGACUGCAGCCUCAUCCUGCGCGUGUUUAUUCAGAAGUGAGUCCCGCUGAAUUCAGCCUGAAGCAUUCAUGAGUUCAUUGCCAAGCAAGCCUGCCCAAGGGUUCGGCCUAAGACAGGCUUUCACCACCCAGCUUCCCUAAUAACGCCAAAUGCUCAGUGCAUUAUUUUCUUCUCCCAUUUGUCUAGGUAAUCUGAGCUGGAUGAUCACCUUAUCCCACCAACAUGUGGCCGCCUACAAUAUUUCAUUAUUGCAGAGUGACAAAAAUAGUUCUUAAUUUUAUUAAUCAUAUGGAUUGAAUCCCUUCCCCUCAGACACAAGCACUGGGCAUGAACUUAAUCUGAAGUGACUGAUUUAGCUUUAAUGCUGCUUCUGUUUCCCACAUUGAUCCAUCAGUGGAAUAAAUGACAUGGAUAAUUGCUUUUUUAGAGCAGGCUUUUCUGCUGCUAUGGCUGAGCCCACUGUUAAGCUUGUGCUUUUACAGAGCACUGUGUCUAUUUGUUGGCUCAAUAAUGAGGAGGGGGGAAGACUCUGGUGCACCAUUGUGCCAUCUUACUGCUCUGUGGAUGUGCAAAGCUAUUUGCAAAGCCCGGAUAGGAAAUACAAAGUCAUAUACAGCUCUAGAUGCAGCAGCAGUAAUUACAUCUAUAGAUCAAAGGCACAAUAGGGCUCAGCUGUUUUAUGGGCCUCGGCAAUUACAAAAUUGACAACAGUAGCAAGCAAUUGUAGAGCUGCCUGUAUUGAUGAAAUUACAUUAAAUGACACUUCCAUAUGAAAUCUCACAUAGACGGGCCUUGCACUUUAGUCCCAGUUAAGAGAAUUCCUACCAGACGCCGGAAGAAGCUUUAUAUAGCAUCCCCAGAUCUGCUAUAGCAGCCUUUACGAGGGAGAACAUUUCCCUGCAUCAACAUCAUAAAGGUGCAUUUUCAUGUUUUGUCAACUAGACUCUGUUGGCCUCUCUCUCAUUAUGAAACUGGCCCUGGGUCGCCUUACACAAAAGAUUCCCACCGAUUUCAUCAAGUGCGAGCUCACAAUGGCAGCCAUUGGUAACAAUUGGAUGCAAGGCAGGGAAGCUGCUUCUCAGAUGUUAAAAGUCUCCAGGGAGAUAAACAGAGAAGGGCUCAAGACCUAUGGAAAAAAGCUUGCCUGGCAUUGAUUGAGCUCUAAAGCACCAAGUUAAACCUUUGCCACCAACUUAUAUUAGCAGUUUUCAAGGCCACUGAGGGCCCCCUCCAUACCGGGCUUGUAUUUUUUCUGAAGAGGGAGGUAUUCUGCAACAUGUCCUUGGUGCAGUUAGAGUGCCCCAGUGAUGGAUUUAUUCUGGACCAUCCACACAUCGUUCUGCUUUGUUGGUUGUGCACUGAUGCUUCCCCAACGUUAUCUCUUUACUGCCAUCUGGAGGGGCACUCUUGCAUUAUAGCGCAACCAAAGAGGAAUUGCAAAUAAACGGGAACAUUGUGGUAUAAAAGGUUGCAGGAUUUCAGCACCAGUGUACCAAGUGAGAACAAAGCAGUAGGUCCACCCUGAAACAUUUGCAGGCGCAGGCAGUAGCGAAAGUGGGAUCAUGUAUAACCUUCCUGAUACCAUCAUGAGCACAUGUGUCAUGAGUGCACAGUGGAAAAGAUAUUUGGAAAGGCCUUUGCUAUGUCAGCUUCUGCAAAAUGGGGACAAUCAUACUGACUGAGACAAUAUAUGUGUAAAGCACUAGACAUCUGCUAAAUAUUAUUUUAAGUGGUCUGACUUUUCCAAAAUUCAGAGUAUAUUAUUGUUAAAAAGGCAAGACAGUGAUUUAGCCUGCUCAGCCUUAGCAGAGGAACAUAACUGUGUCCUAUAAUACAGGAGAUGGCUGAAAGAGAAGGGAAUGGCUCCACCCACUGUCUGCACAGGACCUCUGAGGGAACACCUCAAGGUUAUGUAGCCCUUGAUAGGAAAAAAAGCCCCCCACCCCUGGAAUAUAAGAUCAGAAGUCUGGAGCAGCCUUCCUGGCUGGCCUUUGAUGCUCACAUUUGACUCUUGCAACAUAUCACAGGCUUGGAUCUUUCACCACUUUCUGCUUUGAAAAAUGUAGGUAGGCAACAUUUCAUUGCUAUCUUGCCAUUUCUCCACUGCUUUCCCAUGCAAUUUAUUUAGUUAGCAAGAUUUCUAUACAGCAUAAUCAACAAAAAGAAAACUUUGAGGUGUUUGCAUAAUAUAAAAUAUCAAUUUAAAAAAUAUCAACAAAAGCAAAUGUUAAAAACAGUAGACAUAAUGUUAUCAAAGUAUAGAUUUAAAACCAUGCAUAAUCAGAUUACAACCCUGUGCACACCACACAUUAAAAGCACAUGACACCCCCCCCAAAAAAAAUUAUGGGAAGUGUAGUUUACCUCUCACAGAGCUAUGAUUUCAAGCACCCUUAGCAAAAUACUUCCCAGGGGAAGCUGUGUACUUUAAAUGUAUGGUGUGUGCACAGCCAAAAUAUAUGGGUGGUCUUGACUAAUCAAAAAGGGUUUUAGUUGGAGUCAAACCCAAAACAAUGAAUAAUUUCAUCACAUUGUCUAACAAGUGUUAUGCAAUGUUAAGCUAAGCAGUGGUGGUAUGGUGCAAGUCGUUAGAAGAUAUGCGUUCCAAUAAUUACCUCACAUGCAAAUCAAUUUGAGCUGUGCACUUGGGAGAAAACUGUGCCAAUGUCACAGAGCUGGAGGUGCAGCUGUCAAGUACCACCAUUCAAGUGCUUAAGAUUUCCCUGAAGUGAAGCAACAGCUGUAUGCUAGGAGGCCUAUGCAGCUGUAUAGCAGGAUAGAGAAAACCUAUGACUUUAAAAUUUUGAUAUUUUAAUCUUUCGAAAGCUUAUUUGUAUAGUAACCUGGUAUUCGGGUUUGUUUUUUUAAUAUAAAACUUGAUGAUAUUUGCAUUUUUGUAGGCUCAAAAUGAGAUACUUGCAAAUGAAAAAACCUGUAGCUCUCCGUUCUGCUACUGCCAUUCUGUUCUGAAAUACAGCUGACUUUGGUUUUUAGUACAUUUCAUUUUAGGAAGGUAGGAAAUGGCUUCGUUGAAAGCAGGUCUGAAUAUACAUCCAUCUAGCCAAUUUCAGGGGUUCAGCCUGAGGGGUGGGGAGGGGGGAGCAGGACGACAGAUGCAAGCCCCACCCCAAACAUCCUCACACAUACGAGCUCAACUUCAGACUUACCUGUGCUGGGCAUGAAAGCAUGAAGGGGCCUUGUAAGUAAGUUCAACUCAACCCCCUUAGAAGUAUUCUCUCACAGGGUUCCUAGUUACAGAAGACUUCCAAGCAUGAGCACACCUUUGGGCAAUAAUUGAAGAUUCUGUCUUACUUGCCAAUUCCUAAUCUGCGCUUGUUUGUUUUUUGCUUAUGGCAUCCAAAGUAGCCAUAAGCCACCAGUCUCCAGUCUCCAAAUCUAGACAGGGCAAAUAGGCAGUUAUUUCUCUCUUUGCAAGAGCCGUUUUCUGUCGUGCACAGGGUCAUAACAUUUGAGGGAGCUGGAUAUGUUUAGCCUAGAGAAGAGGAGACUGCGAGGUGAUGGAAUAGCCACCCUCAAAUAUCUGAAGGGCUGUCAAAUGGACGGCGGAGCAGACUUGUUUCCUGCUGCUCCUGAGAGUAGGACCUGAACCAAUGGAUUCAAGUUAUAGGAAAGGAGAUUCUGACUAAACAUCAGGAUGAACUUUCUGACAGUUAGAGCUGUUAGACAGUGGAACGGACUCUCUCGGAAGGUGGUAGACUCUCCUUCACCAGAAGCUUUGAAGCAGAGGCUGGAUGGCCAUCUGUCAAAGAUCUGUAGCUGUGCUUCUUCCAAUAAUAAUAAAUAAUAAUAAUAAUAAUAAUAAUAAUAAUAAUAAAUUUUAUUUAUAUCCCGCCCGCCCCAGCUGAAGCUGGGCUCAGGGCGGCUAACAACAAUCAAAUAAUCAAACAAUCAAAUAAUCCAACAUUCUAGAAACAUUUCAUUAUAAAAAUUAAUUAAAAUCAAAUUAAUGGCAACCGUUAAGCAAAAUUCUGUGCAGGUUGCCAGAGGAGGGAGUCAGGCUGGGCCCUGACCAAAGGCCUGGUGGAACAACUCUGUCUUGCAGGCCUUGCAGAAAGAUGUCAGAUCCCGCAGGAACUUAGUCUCUUGUGACAGAGCGUUCCACCAGAUUGGAGCCGCAGCCGAGAAAGCCCUGGCUCUAGUUGAGGCCAGCCUAACCUCUCUGUGGCCUGGGAUCUUCAGGAUGUUUUUAUUUGCAGACCGUAAGUUCCUCUGUGGGGCAUACCAGGAGAGGCGGUCCCGUAGGUACGAGGGUCCUAGGCCGUAUAGGGCUUUAAAGGUUAAAACCAGCACCUUAAACCUGAUCCUGUACUCCACCGGGAGCCAGUGCAGCUGGUAUAGUACCGGAUGAAUGUGAUCUCGCAGCAAAGACCCCAUAAGGAGUCUCGCUGCGGCAUUCUGCACCCGCUGGAGUUUCUGGGUCAGUCUCAAGGGCAGCCCCACGUAGAGCGAGUUACAAUAAUCCAGUCUGGAGGUGACCGUCGUGUGGAUCACAGUGGCUAGGUCAGGGUGAGAGAGAUAAGGGGCCAACUGCUUAGCUUGGCGGAGAUGAAAAAAUGCCGCCUUUGUUAUAGCUGUAAUCUGCGCCUCCAUAGAGAGGGAGGUAUUGAAGAUUACACCCAAACUCUUA